AUCAGGGUUGCUUUUGAUGCAAUGGUGUAGUGUUUGCACUUUAUAUUAGGUACGACCCUAUGGGUAAUUUUGUCUCGCUGCAUCCAGCUCUGCCAAAUUAGAACUGCUCCAUGCAUUUUUUUAUGUUGGUAAGAAAGCUGCCAAAUUCGUUGAUCAGAAGAAGUAUUACAAAUAACACCUUCAGAGGAGGAAUGUACCGCAUAAGGCGAGUGCCAAAAGAAGAAGAAUGAAAAAGGGAUGCCACCUUUAUAAGGAAAACCAGCCGAAAACGUAAAACAACACCUAACAACUAGGCUAGAGCACCACAACAAAUACAUAACCUCAGAAGACCAACACCCCACAACACACCCGGGCAGGCACUCGAACGCUUUCGCCGCUACAAAAGUGCAAACCAAAAACCGUUGUAUCAAUCCGAGCUGCCACAAGCAUAUCCGCGAACUCGACUACAUCCAAGAGGAACACUAUAUCCGAUAGAGCAAACAUAUGCCACUUCAAUCUCGAGAGGUUGGCGACCAUGACUUGCGUGACGAACUUGCAUGUAAAGGGUCCUUCUGCUGUUCUCACGGUGAUGCUACACAAGCCGUCGCCAACCACCAACAUGAGCACCGGGUCCCUCUAGCCGAGUCUACCAUCAAGACGAUGUCCUGAAGAGGAGAUACGACGCCGAGCAAAGCCGAUAGCGUCAUCAUCGCCCAAUCCGCAAGAGCAGAUCUAGGGUUUCCCCCUAAGAAUGUCGGGCAUGGGAGGGGAGGGGCUGCAACGUCGAUGUCUCUAACAAAGGGAAGGUGCCCGAAGGCACCGCCAUCGACUGCUCCGGCCACAGCCAAACCAGAGACCGGACCAGCCUUCCUACAAACCAAAUCCAUAGCGGCAGAAGCACUUUUUCAUAUCACGCCCUCGGGCCGCGCCCAGUAGGUCGCCAGCCAAAACUACCCCGACAAAUCUACAUCGGGGAAGCGGACUGCCCGCCACCGCAACGGGCCAGAUCGGCUUCGGCCCCAGCCCACCGCGCCCGAGCACCAGCCCCUCUCCUUGCCGUGCCUGGCAGCACAACACCUCCCCUCUGCCGCACGCACCGACGAGAUCCGCGUGAGCCCCACGCCGGCGACGGCACCAGAUCCGCGCCCGCCCACACGCAGUCCCGUGCCGCGCUUGCUCACGCACCACCAGCAGCCGACAGCCCGCCCCCUCCUCCGUGCGCACCGACGGCGAGUCGCCGAAGACAGACCGCGCCCUGCAUCUCCGAAAAGUGGGCCACCACCGCGCUGCCCGAGCUCUUCGCGAGAUGGAGAAGGCCCCGCCGUCGCUGCCGCUGCACGGGCUUAGCCCGGCGGCGCCAUCCGGCGGCGGCGGGGGGUNNNNNNNNNNNNNNNNNNNNNNNNNNNNNNNNNNNNNNNNNNNNNNNNNNNNNNNNNNNNNNNNNNNNNNNNNNNNNNNNNNNNNNNNNNNNNNNNNNNNNNNNNNNNNNNNNNNNNNNNNNNNNNNNNNNNNNNNNNNNNNNNNNNNNNNNNNNNNNNNNNNNNNNNNNNNNNNNNNNNNNNNNNNNNNNNNNNNNNNNNNNNNNNNNNNNNNNNNNNNNNNNNNNNNNNNNNNNNNNNNNNNNNNNNNNNNNNNNNNNNNNNNNNNNNNNNNNNNNNNNNNNNNNNNNNNNNNNNNNNNNNNNNNNNNNNNNNNNNNNNNNNNNNNNNNNNNNNNNNNNNNNNNNNNNNNNNNNNNNNNNNNNNNNNNNNNNNNNNNNNNNNNNNNNNNNNNNNNNNNNNNNNNNNNNNNNNNNNNNNNNNNNNNNNNNNNNNNNNNNNNNNNNNNNNNNNNNNNNNNNNNNNNNNNNNNNNNNNNNNNNNNNNNNNNNNNNNNNNNNNNNNNNNNNNNNNNNNNNNNNNNNNNNNNNNGGGGGGGGGUGGUGUGGGGUGGCUGCGGCGGCGAUUUACGGUUCUCCGAGGCCGCUGCUGGGAGCGACACGGGAGUCCGCCCUAGGGCUGUGUCGUCUCGCGAUGCUGAUGGGGUGUUUUUACCCCGCUCCCCUGAUGAGUGUGCCCAUAUCCACUCCCAUGCAUUUGAGUAUGGCCAAGGGUAACGUUGCAUAUCUGUGUGUCCACAAUGAGAACAAGAGGUUUCAAAGGAACUCAUACUGUAGCCUUUAUCCAGUACAGCAAGCCUACUCCAAGAAUCAUCACAUGUAAACCAGACAGGAAGAAUGGAAUCCAUCUUUAUCAAAAGAAAGGAAACUAAAGUGUAAAGGCACCAUGCAUGUACGUAUGGAUGCGUAUGCUUCACAGAGAAGCAAAGAAGCUUCUUUUACGCCUGCUCUCCAUUUACCUUUGCUUGUGAGGAUGGAACUGGAAUCAAUGGCAACAACCUGAAGCAAAGAAUCUCAAUCCAUUCCUCUUCUUCAGUGCUCUUCUGUUAGGUUGGAGCAUGAUGCAGCCAGAGUCAUCCAUUCCUCUUCGCUGCUGGUAAUUCUUGUCUUUCUCUUGCAUUCUAGCAACUGGAUCGUCAAUUGAAGUAGUUCUUAUUUUCAUUUUCUUUGCGCUGCAGAUUGUACGUGCUUACUCGUUUCGGAGAGUACUGUUUUUCCAACUCGAGGGCGUCCUGAUAGCCGUCUAGGACGUUGUUACCGCAAAGGUUUGCUUCCUUCACCUCUAUUGUUCUUUGUUCCUUGACUCUAAUAUCUGCUGAAGCUCCAGCACUAACACCCAGCUUAAACCCUUAACAGUACUGCCCGCGCUAAUGGAGGCCACGGCGCUCAGCAUUGGAAAGUCCGUGCUGGAUGGAGCGCUUGGCUAUGCCAAAUCCGCUCUCGCGGAGGAGGUGGCUCUGCAACUUGGAGUCCGGCAAGAUCAAGUCUUCAUCACCAACGAGCUCGAGAUGAUGCAGGCUUUCCUUAUGGCCGCCCACGAAGAGAGAUUCGAUGACGACAGGGUCGUCAAGGUGUGGGUGAAGCAAGUCCGGGACGUGGCCUAUGACGUCGAGGACACCCUCCAGGAAUUCGCAGUCCGCCUCAAAAAGCAGUCUUGGUGGCGUAUCUGUCGCACACUUCAAGAUCGGCGUCGUGUGGCCAAGCAGAUGAAGGAUCUCAGAGCCAAUGUGGAGGAUGUCAGCCAGAGGAACAUGCGCUACAACCUCAUCAAGGGCCCUGGCUCAAAGGCUGCCACUUUUGGUGACAACUCUGGCAUCACUAGUGCAAAGAUGUCUGCCAUGGAUGAAGGGAAGCGGCAACAUGAUAAAGCUAAAGUAGAUCUGAUUCGUUUGAUCAACAAGAAGGAUGACAACCUUAGAGUCAUCGCUGUGUCUGGGACAAGUACUGGCCAUCUUGAGAAGAUGUCCGUCAUUAAAAGUGCCUAUGAAGAUCGAAAUGUACACAUGAAGUUUGAGUGCCGAGCCUGGAUCACUGGGUUCAUGUGUCCUUUCAGUUUAUCUGAGUUCCUGCGAAGAAUUAUAGAACAGUUUCAUGUAAAUUUUCUUCAGGGAACAGGGGACAAAGGAAAAACAACGUUAGAGAUACCAGUACUGAGGAGGAUGGGGAUGAUGAAUGAAGAUGAUUUGGUUGAUGAGUUCACGAAAUAUUUGAGUGAGAAGAAGUAUCUGAUUGUACUUAAUGGCAUAAACACCAUUAAAGACUGGGCUCACCUUAAGCCAUGCUUCCGGGAUAGCAAGAAAGGAAGCCGCAUCAUAGUGUCCGCAGAGCAAGUUGGAGUUGCAAGCUUAUGUGUUGGACCAGAUGAUGCAGCGCCAGAGUAUAUGCGGUUUUUUGCCGAUGAGAAUAUUUACGCUUUCUACGAAAAGGUAAAUUGAGAUCCUGAAAAUUGUUUUUCUAAAUCUAUUACAUUGUUAUUUCAGUUCAAUUUCCUAGUUAAAUGAAUCCCACUUCAAGUUGCAUAUUGAUUAAGGUUCAUGCGAAGAAACGAAACAUGAGAAAUAAAAUAAACAAACAACAAUAUCAGUAAAAAAUCGUCUAAUUUCAGUCAUGAUUCACUAAAUAUAAAAUGCAAAAACUGCAUUUUAAGUAAGAUAGUUUCAGUCCACGUGAAUUGCAUUUCAGAACCAUUUAACUCAUACAUAUACUCCCUCCGUAAACAAAUAUAAGAGCGUUUAGNNNNNNNNNNNNNNNNNNNNNNNNNNNNNNNNNNNNNNNNNNNNNNNNNNNNNNNNNNNNNNNNNNNNNNNNNNNNNNNNNNNNNNNNNNNNNNNNNNNNNNNNNNNNNNNNNNNNNNNNNNNNNNNNNNNNNNNNNNNNNNNNNNNNCUAAACGCUCUUAUAUUAGUUUACGGAGGGAGUAUUUAGGAACUAACUCCACAUAACCAUUUAGAUCAAUACCCCAGUAUUUUCACUUAAUUUCAAAAUAAUUAGAGAACUACUCUUCGCAAACUGUAUUUUCAGAAUAAUUGCAUAACCAUUGAACACCGCCUACGAGAUUUAUUGAUUACAUCACACAUGUCAAAGCACAGUGAAUUCAUUACCAUUACCUGGCAGUAAUGCUAGAAAAAUCAUGUUUGCGGUGUGCUGCCAUAUCCACCGCAAGCAAGCAAGGGGAGUAAGGGCAUCCAUUCCCAUGAAACUUAGGGGUUAUGGCUGCAUGCAUCUCCCAGAUGCAGAGGCCAACGGUGCAUAUAUAUAUCCUAUCACCUAGGAUUUCUCUCCUUUUCAACACACACACACACACAUAUAUAUAUAUAUAUAUAUAUAUAUAUAUAUAAUACAUCCUAUCACCUAGGAUUUCUCUCCUCUUAAUUAUAUCCAUCCAACGCACAAAUGGGAGGGAAACCGAGAGAAAAUCUGUGUUUCCAAUGCGAUCUAUACAAAUUUAAUUAUGGGGCCUAAUAGGAAAGGACGUGCUUAAGUUGCACACGGGCCUAAUACACAAGGACGGAGGGAGUAUAGUAUAAUGGACUAAAUUAAAAAAGAAAAUAUUUUUUCAGAUAUUUAAUUAUUGUUUAAGAAUGAAUUUUAUCAUGUAAAAUUCGUAAGAUUUGAAACUCAGAUUAAACAUCAUCUUUGACAAAAUAAAGCAAUUAACACCUAAAUCUUUCCUUGUGUCUAGGGUUCCCAAGAUGGCACAGAUUCAAUGGAGGCCGUGUCUACUUCAAAUGCGGAUACUGCCAGUGGUGACAGCUCCGCCAAUAUGAAGACACUCAAUCGCACACCGACCUUGCUCGCAGCUUUCAAGGAAUCCAAGCUUAUUGGGCGAGAGACUGAAAAAAGAGAAAUUGUUAAAUUGGUUACAAAUGUAGACAGCCGACAACUUGAAGUGAUCAGUGUGUGGGGAAUGGGUGGUCUUGGAAAAACCACACUAGUCAGAGAUGUCUACCAAAGUCAAGACCUCAGCAGGGAGUUUGAGAAGCGUGCUUGUGUGACAGUUUUGCGUCCUUUCGAUCUUGACGCUCUCCUCAAGGAUUUAGCUACACAGUUUGGCUACAACGGUGUCUCAGAAAUGGAUACAAAAUUAGCAGGACAUAAAUACUUGAUUGUUCUUGAUGAUCUAUCGUCCAAUGCCGAAUGGGACAUUAUAAUACCACAUUUUCCUGCGAUGGAAACAUCAAGCCGGAUCAUAGUCACCACAAGGGUAAAGGGUAUUGCUAUACACUGUUCAAGGAAACAUGAAAAUGUGUACGAGCUGCAAAGUCUAGGACAUAGCAGUGCACUUGACCUCUUCACCGAAAAGGUACACAUAGUGUCUUAACCAUUUGUUUGGAUAUUUCUUUUAUGGAAAUCUAUACUUCCACUGUACAACAUUAUGUGACACCUACGUAUUUUGAGGUUCAGUUUGACAAUCAAUUUGAUGAACAAAACAUGGUUAAGUGCGACUAAAUUAUACCAUUAAACUUGUAUUGAAAAUUAAGUUGUCAUUAAUCUAAUUUAGUUCAUAACAUUUGAUUCGUGUAUCAAAUUGAUAAUCAAAGUUAAACAAGAAAUGCAAUUAUGUCAUGUAAAUACAGAUGGACCGACUAGAUUUGGACAGAAUAUGCACAUGAUUGAUCAUAACUGAUAUAAAUACAUGCCUAUAUCACUAAUGUUAAUAGCUGCCGGAAAAAUAUAUGCUGUUUUUUUUUAGAAAAGGGGGUUAAACCCUGGCCUCUGCAUCAAUCGAUGCAUGCAGUCAUCUUUAUUAAUUAUUCCACCAAGGUUUGACAAGAACAUACAUCAAUCUAUUCGAAGCCACAACUCAUACCUACAAACUCGAUAAUAUGGAGUGCUCUCACUCCCCAUAUCUAAAACUGGUGUUGUCAUCAAUCUAUCCACAUAACGUAUCAGGACCAACAGCCGGUGCGGCAGACCUAAAACGCACACACAAGUUUUAGAAGCCGCCAUCAUCAUCGGCCCACUGACCCAUCUUCAGGAGAGAGAUUCGCGUCAUCUUUGCGAGUACGAACAUCCAUCGACGCCACCAUGGCGCCCAACGGCGCCACCGCCUUGCGCUCAUCCGUUCAGACGGGAAGAAUCUGGAAGAACCGUCAUGCAUAGCACCCGCCAAUCAGGCACGACUCACCGUAGCACAUGUCGGCCAGGCAUGACUUGACAACUCCACCAAAAUUCCGUGCAAGACGAAGCCGCUCCACCUCCAGCCUUUGUCAUUCAGUGCUGCUCCACAAACGAUUCUCCCAAGAGAGAAACGGCACCACGGUACCGCCAUGGUCCGAUCUGGAAGACAAGAUCAUAGGGUUUCCCCCGAAGGAGUGCCCACCACCAACAACAGUCAAGGACCCAUACAGUGCCCACCGCCACUCAGCCCUCAAGGCGACGCCUUGAGGAAGGUCACAGCGUCAAGGACGUCGCCUCCUCCCACCGGAGUUAGGGUUUUCACCCAAGAGGCAGGGAGGUGGGAAGUGGAGGAGCAGACGUAGACCGGCGUCUCCAAGAAGAACAGCAGCGCCCUUGAGCGUCGUUGUCGGCGUGGUCGGCCGUGGCUGUCCAAGGGGUUCCCCCAAUCUGGAUCUUCCUCCACCAGCUUCAUCCGUGACCACACCGGCACUGCCAAGAACCCGCAGGAGAGAAGCACACCAAUGAAGGCCAAAAAACAGCGACCGGUUCAGACAUCGCCGGCCGCCAGAGCAGCAGCCCCUGUCCACCCGCAUCCAAGCAACCACAUCGGACCAAGCGACCACGAGCCAGCACGCCGGAGCGACCACCACGUCGGAGCCUCCUCCAUUACGGAACAAAGGAGAAGCAACCAACCCACGCAACCCCCGGCCCUCGCCGCUAGGAGCGCCCGCAGGAUAGAUCUGGCCGCGCCCCCCGCCACCACNCCACCACCGGCACCCCCCGCACACACCUUCAUUCAGCCCGCUGCCUGAAGCCCGGCCAGCGCGCCGGCGCCCACCAGCACCAUCUCGCCGCCGCGUCGCGACGCACGGCGUCCGCGCCACUCCCACGCCAGAGAGGGCGGCGCUGCGUCGACCCUCAGUACGCAGGGGAACGAAGGGCCCGGCCGAGCCCCAUGGCGCCGGCGAGGGAGGGGAAGAGGCCAUUUUAAUUAGUAUGAGUACCGAGAUAAACAUGAUCCUUAAUUUUUUUUUAAAUGAGUAUCAAGAUAUUUUUUAAUGAUUGGUUUCAUCACGCACCAAACUUGUUCUUUAAUAAAUGAGAGAAAAUCCUUGUUCAUCACCUGUCAAUUCUAAAAAUCGAAUUCGGGUCGUUGGGCUGCACAACCGCAUGCCCAAUGACUGAGCCAAGGCUCUCUUUGAAAAAUAUAUGUUGUGGUGAUCAUACAUCCACACGUGCAUAUCCCCUAAUCGGACGACUGAGAGAUUGAAAUAAUUACAUGGAGGAUCUUAACAUUUGUCGUAUAGAGAAAAAAUAGCUCUCGUUAUGCACUACAUGUACAGAUAUCACUAAUAGAAAUAUAUUUUUACACAGGAAUUAGGUUCGAAAUAAAUAAGAUAUCUUUCACUAAGGAAUGUAAUGUGGCUAUCUCUAUUUUAUUUUAUAGCCAUGGAAAUAGUUAGAGUUAAAGAAUCGAUCAGGUAGUAAAAAUUUGACUGUAUAUCCAAUGGCUACGUAUAUCUGAAGCUCUGAUUCAAAUGCAAAGAAAUUCUUGAGUUUCAAGCAAUUUUUUUGCUUAACGAAUCUCCUUGUACCGGUACUUAGAGGACCUCACCUGUCUAUCAAAACAAAUGAGGAUCGAUGGUGCACUUUGGUCAUUUCAUUUUCGGAAAUUCUAUAACAUUCACUAAUUAAUUAUUUUAAUAGUAUCAUGCACCUUUUAAAGGUAGCAGAAAACCUGUAAACCAUCCAAUUAUUACUAUUUAAGUUAGAAUGACUAGUUUUUAUCGCAUUUCAUUUUCUAAGUACUAAGAAAAUCUGAACUCGUAUAAAUUUCAGGUAUUUGGGAAGACUACCAAUUUCUAUGAGCAAUAUCCUGAAUUGUCUGAACCAGCAAAUCUGAUCCUAAAAAAAUGCAGCGGACUUCCACUUGCAAUAGUCACCAUAGGUGGAUUCUUGUCGAACCAGACUAAAUCCUCUCUGGAAUGGAGGAGAUUGAAUGAGCGUAUGAGCACUGAGUUGGAGAUGAAUCCAGAACUUGGGUAUAUAAGGACCGUCCUUAUGAGAAGCUAUGAUGGAUUACCUUAUCACCUCAAGUCUUGUUUCCUAUAUAUGCCCAUCUUUCCUGAAGAUUACAAGGUUGGAAGGGGACGCUUGGCACGUCGGUGGAGUGCAGAGGGUUACUCAAGGGGGGUGCGUGGUAAGUCCGCGGAGGAAAUAGCGGAUGGCUACUUCAUGGAACUUAUAAGUAGGAGUAUGAUCCUACCAUCUCAACAAUCAAUUCUUGGUAGAAAUGGAAUUGGUUCCUGCCAAGUCCAUGAUCUUAUCCGUGAAAUUGGUGUCUCCAAGUCGAUGGAAGAAAAUCUUGUUUUUACACUGGAGGAAGGUUGCAGCUCAAAUAGCCAGGCCAUGGUGCGCCACCUGGCUAUAAGCAGCAACUGGGAGGGAGAUAAGAAUGAGUUUGAGAGCACAGUGGACAUGUCCCGUCUACGGUCAAUUACAUGUUUUGGAAAGUGGAAGUCAUUUUUUGUUUUUGACAAGAUGAGGUUGCUACGAGUGCUAGACCUGGAAGACACGGCAGGUCUAUAUCCUCAUAACCUUAAGGAUAUUGGGAAGCUUCUUCACCUAAGAUAUCUUUCUCUAAGAGGAUGUGGUGAUAUUUCUUACCUGCCAGAUUUACUGGGCAACCUGAGGCAACUCGAGACGCUAGAUGUCAGAGAUACUUGGAUUGUCCAGUUGCCAAAGAGCAUCAUCAAGCUUCGGAAGCUAAACUAUCUUCGAACUAGCAGAAAACCGGCUAAUGAUGAUAUCGAAGAAGUUGUGGGCUUACCCGAGGAAAUAAAUAACCGCCCAUGCGAGUUGUGUGUCAUUAUGGGGAUAUGUUGUUUAGGGUGUUGUGCAGUUCAGUGUAUUGCUGAUAUUGAUUUAAACAGUUAUGACAUAUGCACUACCUUUUGCUGCUAUGGCUUUCCUGCUGUGGCUAUGCGGCUCGACUUGUAUGGUGUGCUAGUGCCCAGAGGGAUGAGAAAACUUAAAAACCUGCACACACUGGCUGUUGUGAACAUCGGACGGCAAGGGAAGCUCAUACUAAAGGACAUAGAAGGACUCACCCAACUGCGCAAGUUGGGAGUGACUGGCGUCAAUAAGGUAAAUGGCCAAGAGUUGUGUUCGGCAAUUGUUGGCCUGAGCCGCCUGGAAUCUUUGUCAAUCCGGUCAGAGGGGGAGCCAGGUUUAUGUGGCUGCUUGGAUGGAGACUUCUCGUUUCCGGAGACACUUCAGAGCCUCAAGCUGUAUGGCAACCUGGCCAAACUGCCGGAAUGGAUCCAGGGGCUCAAGAAUCUGGUUACGCUGAAGCUGCGGAGCUCCAGGAUAACAGAGCACGAUGCUGCCAUACAAAUCCUUGGGAAUCUAUCCAAUCUGGUGUUCCUGCAUCUGUUGGAGAAGUCACUCGUGGGUGAAGAGGUCCGUCUCAGUUUCCAGAAGGGGAUGUUCCCGAGCCUGGUGGUGUUGGAGCUGAGCAUGGGAUACGGAACAAGACUCAAGUCCGUCAAGUUUGAACAAAAAACAACCCCGAGGCUUGAGGUGCUCCAGUUUCGUCAGACUGCAUACAUCGACAGUGGUUUCCUUUCAGGGCUAUUCUCUCUAGCUAGCUUAAAGGAAGUUGUGCUACAACAUGGCUACUUUGGUUCCGAAUUGGAAUACCUGAGGACCGAGCUCACCAAGAACCCAAAUCUACCCGUGGUGAAGUGGGUCUUUUAAAGCUUCAGAGGUCAAUCACGCCCAACAAUCCAAGGCAAGCUAGGCGUACUGUCGUAUUUUCAUUUGUGUGCGCUGUGCAGUAUCUACGUGCAGUUUUUCUUUCUUCCUUUUUCUGUUGGAAGUUCAUCUAUGAUAAAUAAAUCGUUGAUAUUUCCAUUCGUACUGGUCAAGGAUUCGUUUUAGUCGCAUAUGACCCGUAAUUAUGCGUAGGUUGCGUCGGACGGUUCAUCAUGUAUGUAUCUGGAAUGUGUCUGGGAUAGCAGCAUGAUCACAUCUAUAUCUUCUCCUAAUAAUAAAGCACGCAGUGCUUCUUCCGUCCGUCGUGGUCGUUUUGCAAAAAAAACCCUGAAGUUUCUCAAAAUCAACCCGUAGUCCAGAUUUAAGUGACGGGCGAAUCAUUUUUUCGUUUUUACAAGAAACCCCUGUGCUUUCCCGAAAUCAAUCCGCAGUAUAUAACACAGUGAGAAAACGAAUGGUUUUCUGGAUUUUUUGUACAAACCUCCUUCAGUUUUUAUAAAAUAAACCCGCAGUACAUACUUGAGUAAAAAAACAAUCAUUUUCCGUAUGUUUUCGAAAACACUCCUACAGUUUUUAAUUAAUUAAUCUGUAGUUCAAUUAUAAGUGCAAAAUAUUUUUAAAAAUUAUAUCUUUUAAACAGUAACUCCAAUUUUACAUUAUUAUAUAUGAAAUUUUAUUAGAAAAAUAUGUAAAAUCUGAAUAUAAUGUUAGUUUAUCUAUUUAAUUUUUUAAAAUUCCGCUUAUAAUGUAAUUUAAAUCAAUAGUGAUGCGCAUAAUCUAAAUAUAAUAUUAUUUUAUUUAUUUAAUAAUUUUUAAAUAAUAUUUAUGCUAUAAUUUUAAUCAAUAGCGUACAAUCCAUUUUUCAUAACGAGGCCGAUCCAUGUUGUUAAUUAAUCCGCGGUUCAAUUAUAAUUAACAAAUACUGUAAACAAUUAUAUCUUUUAAAACUGUAACUCUAAUUUUAAAUUAUUACAUAUGAACUUUCAUUCAAAAAAUAUGUUGAAUCGAAAUCUAAUGUAUGUUACCUAUUUAAUUUUUAGAUUUCUAUUUAUAAUGUAAUUUGAAUCUAUAGUGAUGUGUAUAAUCUAAAUAUGAUGUUAUUUUACUUAUCUAACAUUUUUUAAAUUCUAUUUAUGCAGUAAGUUUAAAUAAAGAUAUGAAGUCAUGAUUAUUAGGUUAAGAUGUGUUGUAUGGUUUGCUUCCGUUGCAACGAACGAGCUCUUUUGCUAGUCUAUAUCUAUAUCUAUAUCUAUAUCUAUACUUAUACUAAUUUGUGACUCCCAGAAAAUUCUCACAUUAAUUAGAAAUUAUCAACCGUUCAUUUGGUGGGAUCGAAUUAUUACGGUGUAGAUCAAUCCAUAAAAUCCUCGAGAAAAAAAAUCCUAUCUUUUUCUUUUUUUAAAUCCCUGGGAAAAAAAUCAAUUUUAUAAGUCCACGAUCUCUUUUCUUGGUUCUAAAAUUCCGUCUCAAUAUAUAUCUAUAGAUCCACGGGCUCUUUCUCUUAUCACUAGAAAAAACAACCUGAUGCAAUCUCUAACCAAUUGUCCUCUCGAUGCUAACCACAUGCAAUUGGUUGACGUACGUGUGGAUUACUGUUCGUGAGCAGCCUUGAAUGCAGCUAUGGUAACUUCAGGACAAAGGAUUGCAACUACGAAGGCCAUCAAACAAGCAAAUAAACUUCGAUUUUUAUCUCCAUGUCCCUCCCUCCACGUCCCUCCCUCCUCUCUCUUACUUUUCUUCUCGAUGGAAUUACUACUGGCUGGACGUCGAAGCUGUCCAUAAUUAUAUAUAUCGAUUGAUUCAACCAUCCGCAUGAACUCCAACAAGCCGCCGUCGUCAUCCAUCGGACCUGCCGUUCAUCAUCGUAUUUCUUGCCCGUCUAGGCUUUCCACGCGAUGGAGAUGCAUUGGCUAGCUACUCAAGUAUCUCAGUUAGUGUUGUGCUGAACAGUUCUCUUAGAAUUGGUUUUUUGAUUAUUGAAUCGACAUGGCAUAUGUGAGCUUUACGGCAGGGAUUCAAAUUUAUCUUUGCUUGAUUAUGUCCUCAAAAUUCACAUUGUUGUCUUGAUCUUCUGUGGUGGAGAGCGAUCUGACAGCCAUGCGUACUCCCUGAAGUGCAUGCCCGUGAAUCUGUGGAUGCAUAUGCAAGAUGCAUGUCAUACGCCUCUUCGACAUCAAAACCUUUGCACCACCCAGGGAAUCAGUUGCACUGUUUGACAGCGGUAGGGAAAAUUCUAAGCUUUCCUCUUUCAGUUAAGCGACCACACUAUUCAUUUAUUAAUUGUCUCACCUGAUGCCUCUUGCAUUGAUACCCUAGCCUUAAUUAUCGGUGAUUGAUUUUUCAUACCAUGAUGGCGUAUACUUACUGUAUAUAGCAUACUAAGCAGUUAACUGAUUCACUCUGUAAUCCGGCUAGCUGGUGAUGACCUCUGACUUGAGGUGUGUGAAUGUCUAAUGCAUGUGCACGAGAAUAUAAAAUACCUCACAUUAUAUAAGUUCCUAAUAAAUAUCAACCAAAGAUUUAGUAGACAUGCAUGUUAAUGUUAUUUGUAGGACUGUAUCCUAAAAAUGACUUAUUUGAACAAUAUUAUAAAAGUAAUAUGCCACUAUGUGUAUAUAUAUAUAUCUGUGCUGUGGUAUUUGCAUAAACAAUUAUUACGGUUCUCUCAAUAUUAACGAAUAAGACACUACUCGAGCUAAUUUCCAUGUGUUGGAGUCAUCAGGAGAAGUUCAUAUAAUAAGCACCUGAACACCAUUGAAUUUCAAUGGCGCUUUUGUACACUUUCACUAGGCUCCAUUUUAAUAGAAUCAUGGUAUACGUGGUUAGUAAAAUUAUGAGCACUGAUCCGUUCAUGCCGUGAGUUUUGGUGGUUGGACUAUUUUCAUACUGACACAACAAGCCAAGAGCUUCUAUUAGGGAAUCCCACAUCCAUACUGAUUUUCUAUAUGUGUAGAUGAAUGACCAAGACCAAAAUUGUUUUCAUUCUUUUCUGAAUAACCACAUAUUAAUAGAAUUCAAGUAUCAACUGCCUGUGCAUAUAGGUUACAAACUUUUCUAUCUGUGAAAUCCAAGGGUACUAAUUCCGUUAAUUAUACUAUUUCACUCAUUUAACAGUCCAUCUGUACACUAAUGUAAGAUGUUUUUGCCGUUCGUACGUUUAACAUUUUCUUAGCGUGUAGUAUCUAGAACUCAGCUGAAUGCAUAACUGACAUACUACCUCCCACACACAUGUAUGUCAUUGUUACCCAUGAAACAUAAGAUUAGUUUGGAAAUGUCGUCCUCUCCAACUGUAGUGAACGAAUGAAUCAUAUAAUAUACUGGACUUUAUUGGAGAAUAGGCGGAACAUACACUUAUUAUAAUCGAUCAUUAUAAUCAUGUACUAUGCUCCAUUGUCUUCCUCUCCCGAAACAAUCCCGCGGCAUGGAAAACAAAUCCAUCGUUGCUCUCAGGCUGAAGUAAGCAGUUAAUGUGGGGUGACAUAUAUUCAGCGUGCUCAAGGAUCUUAUUACAUCAAAAUUGUUUUCCACAUGUGUGGAUUAGGUUUGUUUUCUUGCACACUACUGUUUUUGAUUUUUUUUUUAUUAGCUAUGCCUGCCAUUUCGCCUAAUCAAUUCUGGUUGGGACGUCUGGACUAACGUUGUGGCGCUACUUGAGAUGAGCAGAGGAGAGCGAGCAUGGAUCCAUCUUGCUAGUUUUUCUUUUUGCAUAGCUAAUGAAGGUCGUGGGCGGGCCACAAAAAUAGUGUGACGUGAUGGUUGAGCUGGCUUUUGCGGAGAAGCACAACAAUUUUGGCUGAGUUAGGUAGACAAAUAAUUCCGCAAGUAAAACAUCUACUUAUGGUUAAGGGAAACUGCACGUCAGGAAGAUAAUGAAACUGCACUUAUCAUAUAAAAAAACAAAGAACCAUUAUGUGUUUACACCAUGUUAUUUACGGAGCAUACAACUACACUUAGUGUUGCGAGAAAUCAAGCAUCUAUUAUGUGUUGAGGCUGUGCAAUUUAUAAUCCUAAAAGCACAAAACCAGAAUACAAAUAUAUGAAAUCAACCUAAUGGAAAGUACACAAACACAAUACUGCUUAUUAAAUACAUAUUUCAAAUCACUAAUUUCCUUUGGCCGAGAGAAAACUAAUAUAUGAAAAAACAUUUUAAAAAAACUAGCAAUCUCCACAAAGUUAGUACCCUGCAUACAUGUAUAGCUCUGCCCAUUUCCACCGAAAACAUGUUCUUCACAUUUAAAUAAUGCACUAAAGAGAAUUGUUUUAUACAAUUUUCUCUAUGUCAAAUAUAUCAAGACACCAAUUUUCUACAUUAGAAAGUAUACUUUAAGAAUGGCUCCAAAUUCAUUGCUAUGUAUAUUGACAUGAACGCGGACAUGAAAUAACAUGCCAUGCUUUACAUGAAUAUUUAUGUUUACCACACAAUAAAACGAUUAAGUAACCGCAAAGUCAUCGCCAACUAACAACAACUUAAUUGUAUUAUUUGACUAAAUUUGUACAAAGUAACAUUGUCAAUAAACUAGCCCGUGCGAAUGCACGGGUUGACGACUAGUCUAUACUAAUUAAAGACUCCCACAAAAUUACCACGUUAAUUAGAUUUUACGAGCCGUUCAUUUGGUGGGACCGAGUUAUUAAUUAGAGACUCCCACAAAAUUACACCGUUAAUUAGAUUUUACGAGCCGUUCAUUUGGUGGGACCGAGUUAUAACGAUUUAGAUCUAAUAAAAUUCUCAUCCAGAAAAAAACAAUUUUCUCAGUUGUAAAAACUAAAGAAAAAAAUCCAAUCUCAGUUGUACCUAAAAGUAGCACGUCCUUUCUCAGGUUGGUAAAAGUAAAGAAAAAAACGCAAUCCGAAUUGUACCUAAAAGUUGCACGUCCUUCCACAAAAAAGAGAGUAAAAAAUCCAAUCUCAACUGUACUAAAAAGGCUUCACGUCCUUCGACCAAAACAAAUAAAUAUUCUCCACGAUCUCUUUCAAAACUAAAUCAGAAUCGGGAUCUAUUUGCCCUAGCCUCCACGAUCGUCUGCUUAAGGAAAGGUCUCAGCCUAAACCCUGAUCGAGAGCUCUUGGUUGAGGUCUCCAUAGCCCCUUCCAUGCAAUGUCACCUCCUGGCGCUGGCUCGACAUGGUCCUGGUCGUGGUCUCAUCGCCUAACCUAGCUCCGUAAAUUGUCUUUCUCAUGCCUUUCGUUUCAUCUACGACGUGUUAGAUCCGGCAGCAAAUCACAUCUCUAGACUAAAUCUAAUUCCACCAGUUCGUUGCGGAUAGGCCUUGGCCUCUUCGUCCUGGUGCUAUUAGCCACCCUCUCUCUCUAUUUGCGUGUGUUGAAAUGAUAACAAGUUAGAUCCAGGGCAAAUAUCAGAAAAGCGAGAUCUGCAUGCAGGUGAUGAACAUCGUGAAAUUUGCUGCCUCCACAUGUUAUACAAAAUUUGGCGAUGCGGAUAGGUCCUGGCCUCUUUCUGGUGGUGCCAUUAGCCUCUCUCUCUAUCUGUGUGUGUGUUGCAGAUGAUGAAUAGAAUGCAGUGGGUUACACCCAGCGGCAAAUUUGAGAAAAACGAGAUUUUAAUGCAGAGGACGAAAAUCAUCUAUUGAUUAUACAAUUGGCUGCCAACACACGGUAUACAAAAUUGGUCGGUGAAAUACAAUGCACGACCAUCCCCUAUGCAGUGAUCGUUUUAACAUCACCCACGCCAGUCUUUUGAUUAGGUAAAUACAGUGUGGUGUUUGCCUGUGGAGGGUGUCAGUUCUAACGUUGUUUAGCCUAUCCAUACAGGGUGCAUAUGGGAAGCUCCUCUUGGCCACGGCACCGUUGAGGACGAGGUGAGGUAAUAACACUAGUGGAAAACGGGCCUUUGGCCGGGACCCUUUAGUCCCGGCCUGCCUCUGGGCCGGGACUAAAGGCCCGGCCACGUCGCCCCAAUUCUCAAUGCCUCCCUCGAGGCUUUAGUCCCGGUCCGUAAGGAGCCUUUAGUCCCGGUUCGUGUCCCAAACCGGGACUAAAGGGCUACGCGGUGGGCAGCCCGCAUGUGCGCUCAAACCGGGACUAAAGUCCUCUGCCUAUAUAUAGCACAUCCCCCCUCUCCCCUCUUCCUUGCAUUUUUCUUGGAUGGAGGAUUGUGGGUGUGUGCUAGCUCUCCACUUUUUUUGAUGCACUAGAGGUGUUUGUUGAAAAAUGUGUUAGAGCGAUGCCGCUUCAGUUCACCGAACACAACUACGAUAUGAGAUGCAUGAGCCACGCUUAAACCUCUUCCUCUUUAUUUCUACUUAUUCUAAAAGGUUAGCAACUAUAUUUCCUCGUUUAGACCGUGCGAUACUAAUUUUUAGGAUCGUGAUUGUAUUUGAUAUAUUGUCGUAUAACACAGAUGAGCCAUCCAUGGAUGUACGGUGAUCGACGCACAACCGCUUACAGAGAAGGCGUGCAUUCUUUUCGAGAUGCAGCCGAUGCAAACAAGCAUGGUGGUGGCUUUAUGUUUUGUCCAUGUGUUGAAUGUCGGAAUGAGAAGGAUUACACUUCCUCAAGAGUCAUUCAGAGCCACCUGCUUCGGUCCGGUUUUAUGUCGGGCUAUAAUGUUUGGACCAAGCACGGAGAAAGAUGGGUUAUGAUGGAAGACGACGAUGAAGAAGAAGAGAACGAUGAUGACAACUACCGAUCUAUGUUCCCUGAGUAUGCUGAUACCGCAAUGGAAGAUAAUGAAGAAGAAGAUCAGGAUGAAGAACGGGAACCAGAUGAGCCCGCUGAUGAUCUUGGCCGGGUCAUUUCUGAUGCACGGUGAGGUUGCGACAUAGAAAAGGAGAGGUUGCAGUUCGAGCAGAUGUUACAGGACCACAACAAAUUGUUGUACCCAACUUGUGAAGAUGGCCAGAAGAAGCUGGGUAGCACACUGGAAUUCCUGAAGUGGAAGGCAUAGACCGGUGUGACUGACUCGUCAUUCGAAAAGUUGUUGGUACUGAUGAAGAAGAUGCUUCCAAGAAAGAACGAAUUGCCCGCCAGCACGUACGAAGCAAAGAAGCUUGUCUGCCCUCUAGGAUUAGACGUGCAGAAGAUACAUGCAUGCCCUAAUGACUGCAUCCUCUACCGUGGUGAGAAGUACGAGAAUAUGGAUAAAUGCCCGGUAUGCACUGCAUUGCGGUAUAAGAUCAGAAAAGAUGACCCUGGUGAUAUUGAGGGCGAGCCAUCCAGGAAGAGGGUUCCUGCCAAGGUGAUGUGGUAUGCUCCUAUAAUACCACGGUUGAAACGUCUGUUCAGAAAUAAAGAUCAUGCGAAGUUGUUGCGAUGGCACAUGGAAGAUCGUAUGAAAGACGAUAAGUUGAGGCACACCGCUGAUGGUCGGCAGUGGAGAAAAAUCGAGAGAGAGUUCCCGAGAUUUGCAGCUGACGCAAGGAACUUAUGGUUAGGUCUAAGUACAGAUGGCAUGAAUCCUUUUGGGGAGCAGAGUUGCAGUCACAACACCUGGCCCGUUACUCUAUGUAUCUACAACCUUCCUCCUUGGUUGUGCAUGAAGCGGAAGUUCAUUAUGAUGCCAGUGCUUAUCCAAGGUCCAAAGCAACCCGGCAACGAUAUUGAUGUGUACCUAAGGCCAUUAGUUGAUAAAAUUUUAUAGCUGUGGGCCGAACCAGGUGUACGUGUGUGGGACGAGCACAAACAAGAGGAAUUUGACCUUCGAGCGUUGCUUUUCGUAACCAUCAAUGAUUGGCCUGCUCUUAGUAACAUUUCAGGACAGUCAAAAAAGGGAUACAAUGCAUGCACGCACUGUUUGGAUCAGACAGAAAGUAUAUAUCUGGACAAAUGUAGGAAGAAUGUGUACCCGUACAAUCGUCGUUUUCUUCCGCCCAAGCAUCCCUUAAAUAAAAAAGGCAAGCAUUUCAAUGGCAAGGCAGAACCCCGGGGGAAGCCUGUCAUCCGUACUGGUGCUGAAGUAUUUGAUAUGGUCAAAGAUUUAAAAGUAAUCUUUGGAAAGGGUCCUGGCAGCCAACCUGUUCCUAACGGCCUGAUAAGCGCGUACCCAUGUGGAAGAAGAAAUCUAUAUUUUGGGAGCUACCCUACUGGGAAGUCCAUGAGGUCCGCUCGGCAAUCGACGUGAUGCACCUGACGAAGAAUCUCUGCGUGAAUAUUCUAGGCUUCCUGGGCUUGUAUGGGAAGUCAAAAGAUACACCGGAAGCACGGGAGGACCAGGAACGUCAUAAAGGAAGAGAUGGCAUGCAUCCAGGGCAGUUUCAAGGGCGUGCCAGCUACGCUCUUACUAAGGAAGAGAAGGAAAUCUUCUUUGAAGUCCUUUUCAGUAUCAAGGUCCCGACUGGCUUCUCGUCGAAUACAAAGGGAAUCGUAAAUAUGAAAGACAAAAAAUUCCAAAACCUAAAGUCUCAUGACUGCCACGUGCUUAUGACGCAAUUGCUUCCGGUUGCAUUGAGGGGAAUUCUACCGGAAAAUGUUCGCCUGGCAAUUGUGAAGGUAUGUGCAUUCCUCAAUGCAAUUUCUGAGAAGGUAAUCGAUCGAGAAAGUCUAUCAGGGUUACAGAUUGAUGUGGUCCAAUGUCUGGUCAGCUUUGAGUUGUUGUUCCCGCCAUCCUUCUUCAAUAUAAUGACACACCUCCUAGUUCACCUAGUCGAAGAGAUUAGAAUUCUCGAUCCUGUGUUUCUACACAAUAUGUUCCCCUUCGAGAGGUUCAUGGGAGUCUUAAAGAAAUAUGUUCGUAACCAUGCUAGGCCAGAAGGAAGCAUCUCCAAGGGCUAUGGAACAGAGGAGGUCAUUGAGUUUUGUCUGGACUUUCUUCCUGACCUUAAGCCAAUUGGUGUUCCUGAAUCUCGGUAUGAGGGUAGGCUGACAGGAAAAGGCACACUCGGAAGGAAAGAAAAAGUAUGUAUGGACGGGCAUUCUUUCUCUCAAGCACACUACACAGUUCUACACAAUUCCACCGUGGUGGCUCCGUAUAUCGUGAGACACAAGAAUAUUCUACGCUCCGAAAACCCGGGGAAGGCUGACUCUUGGAUUAAAGUGGAACAUGAGAAGACUUUCGGCAGUUGGUUGCAGACACAUCUCAUGAAUGACGACACCGUUGGAGAUCAGUUGUACUGUUUGGCCAGGCCACCAUCUUCGACUAUAUGUACUUUCCAAGGGUAUGAGAUAAAUGGGAAUACAUUUUACACGGUUGCCCAAGAUAAAAAGAGCACCAACCAAAAUAGUGGUGUCCGCUUUGAUGCAACAAAGGAGAAUGGACACUGUUUGGAAACAUAUUACGGGUACAUAGAGGAGAUAUGGGAACUUGACUAUGGACCUACUUUUAAGAUCCCUUUGUUUCGGUGCAAAUGGGUGAAGCUGACAGGAGGCGGGGUAGUUGUAGACCAAAAGUACGACAUGACAACAGUGGAUCUCAACAAUCUUGCGUACAUGGACGAACCAUUUGUCCUAGCCAAUGAUGACGCUCAGGUUUUCUAUGUGAAGGACAUGUCUACAAAAACGAGAAAAAGAAAUCAGCAAAAGAAGAUAUCGUCCGAUGAGCCAAAACGCCACAUAGUUUUUUCAAGGAAAAGAAACAUCGUGGGAGUAGAUGACAAGACAGACAUGUCAGCAGAUUAUAAUAAGUUUCAUGAAAUUCCGCCCUUCAAAGUGAAAACUGACCCAAGCAUCCUAUUGAAUGAUGAAGAUUCUCCAUGGCUACGACCCAGAAGAAAACAUAAAUAAUAGAUAGGAAUAUUGGUGCAAUAAUGUAAUAAUGUAUUAAACCUUAUAUGUAAUGCAUGUAUGGAAUGUACUAAAUUUCAAACACUUUUCAUUUUCAUAGUUUUGUCAAAUUCUCAAAUACGCAAAAAGAAUUUUAAUAAACCUUUGUAAGAGAUGAGUUCUCGUUCGAAACCCUGAUACUUCGAGAGAGAUUGUCCGUUUUGUACACGAAGUGCAUCCAGUUUUUGUCAUAGCCCUCUCAACUUUUUAACACAUGCUAUGUGGGUGAAAUGAUGAUAGCAUGCCAACUUUCAACAUUUUCAGAGUUCAUUUGUAGUGCUUUUCAAUUUCAGGGUCAACUAGCUCAAAAAAAAAGUAAAUGCACGAAGAAUACCAAAUGAAGUCAGAAAUUUUUGAAAUUUUGUGAUGUGCCUUUGAAUGUUGCAUUUUGAACACACAAAAAGUAUGGAGUUCAAAUAAGUUCAAAAAAAUGAAAUCCCUUUGUAAGAGAUGAAUUCUCGUUCGAAACCCUGAUACUUCGAGAGAGAUUGUCCGUUUUGUACACGAAGUGCAUCCAGUUUUUGUCGUAGCCCUCUCAACUUUUUAACACAUGCUAUGUGGGUGAAAUGAUGAUAGCAUGCCAACUUUCAACAUUUUCAGAGUUCAUUUAUAGUGCUUUUCAAUUUCAGGGUCAACUAGCUCAAAAAAAUAAUAAUAAGUAAAUGCACGAAGAAUACCAAAUGAAGUCAGAAAUUGUUGAAAUUUUGUGAUGUGCCUUUGAAUGGUGCAUUUUGAACACACAAAAAGUAUGGAGUUCAAAUAAGUUCAAAAAAAUGAAAUCCCUUUGUAAGAGAUGAGUUCUCGUUCGAAACCCUGAUACUUCGAGAGAUAUUGUCCGUUUUGUACACGAAGUGCAUUCAGUUUUUGUCGUAGCCCUCUCAACUUUUUAACACAUGGUAUGUGGGUGAAAUGAUGAUAGCAUGCCAACUUUCAACAUUUUCAGAGUUCAUUUGUAGUGCUUUUCAAUUUCAGGGUCAACUAGCUCAAAAAAUAAUAAGUAAAUGCACGAAGAAUACCACAUGAAGUCAGAAAUUGUUGAAAUUUUGUGAUGUGCCUUUGAAUGGUGCAUUUUGAACACACAAAAAAUAUGGAGUUCAAAUAAGNACUAGCUCAAAAAAUAAAUAAGUAAAUGCACGAAGAAUACCAAAUGAAGUCAGAAAUUGUUGAAAUUUUGUGAUGUGCCUUUGAAUGGUGCAUUUUGAACACACAAAAAGUAUGGAGUUCAAAUAAGUUCAAAAAAUGAAAUCCCUUUGUAAGAGACGGGUUCUCGUUCUAAACCCUGAUACUUCGAGAGAGCUUAUCCGUUUUGUACACGAAGUGCAUCCAAUUUUUGUCAUAGCCCUCUCAACUUUUUAACACAUGCUAUGUGGGUGAAAUGAUGAUAGCAUGCCAACUUUCAACAUUUUCAGAGUUCAUUUGUAGUGCUUUUCAAUUUCAGAGUCAACUAGCUCAAAAAAAAAGUAAAUGCACGAAGAAUACCAAAUGAAGUCAGAAAUUGUUGAAUUUUUGUGAUGUGCCUUUGAAUGGUGCAUUUUGAACACACAAAAAGUAUGGAGUUCAAAUAAGUUCAAAAAAAGAAAUCCCUUUGUAAGAGAUGAGUUCUCGUUCGAAACCCUGAUACUUCGAGAGAUAUUGUCCGUUUUGUACACGAAGUGCAUCCAGUUUUUGUCGUAGCCCUCUCAACUUUUUAACACAUGAUAUGUGGGUGAAAUGAUGAUAGCAUGCCAACUUUCAACAUUUUCAGAGUUCAUUUGUAGUGCUUUUCAAUUUCAGAGUCAACUAGCUCAAAAAAAAAAUAAGUAAAUGCACGAAGAAUACCAUAUGAAGUCAGAAAUUGUUGAAGUUUUGUGAUGUGCCUUUGAAUGGUGCAUCUUGAACACACAAAAAGUAUGGAGUUCAAAUAAGUUCAAAAAAUGAAAUCCCUUCGUAAGAGAUGAGUUCUCGUUCGAAACCCUGAUACUUUGAGGGAGAUUGUCCGUUUUGUACACGAAGUGCAUCCAGUUUUUGUCGUAGCCCUCUCAACUUUUUAACACAUGCUAUGUGGGUGAAAUGAUGAUAGCAUGCCAACUUUCAACAUUUUCAGAGUUCAUUUGUAGUGCUUUUCAAUUUCAGGGUCAACUAGCUCAAAAAAAAAGUUAAUAGUUUGGAUAGUCAAAAUAAUUACUUUUGAAAAUAGAAAAAAGUUUUGCAUUAUUUAUUCAAUUUCAAACAGUUUUCAUUAUCAUAGUUUUUUCAAAUUCUCAAAUAUGCAAAAAGAAUUUUAAUAAACAUAGUUUUUGAUUGAAAAUAACAAAAUAGUUAAUAGUUUGGAUAGUCAAAAUAAUUACUUUUGAAAAUAGAAAAUAGUUUUGAAUUAUUUAUUCAAUUUCAAACACUUUUCAUUAUCAUAGUUUUGUCAAAUUCUCAAAUAUGCAAAAAUAAUUUUAAUAAAACAUAGUUUUUAAUUGAAAAUAGAAAAAAAUUGAAACUAUAUGAGAAUUUGUAAAGAAACUUAAACCUAAAUUCAAAGUGAGCUCACUUUGAAUUCAGGUUUAAGUUUCUCCACAAUUUCAAAUAUAGUUUCAAUUUUUUAAGUCAGUUUAGGCCCGUAAGCCUGCUUUAGAGAGGAGCUCGAUGGAGUAGCUGCGACUGGGCUUAUAAACAAGUGUUAGUCCCCCUCGCUGGGCGAGGUGGGACUAAACUUAUCAUGCAGGCGAGGAGGGGCUUUAGUCCCGGGUGGAGCCACGACAAGUCUGUUUACUCGUUCCGUAAUACAAGAUCCCGUGACUAACACUUUAGUCACAUUGUUUGCAAGGCUUAUAUGUGAUGUUGUAUUACCGAGUGGGCCCCGAGAUACCUCUCCGUCACACGGAGUGACAAAUCUCAGUCUUUAUCCAUGCCAACUCAACGGACACCUUCGGAGAUACCUGCAGAGCACUUUUACAGCCACCGAGUAACGCUGCAACGUUUGAUACACACAAGGUAUUCCUCCGAUGUCAGUGAGUUACAUGAUGUCAUGCUCAUAGAAAUGAAUACUUGACACACAACAAACAAUAGCAACAAAAUGACACGAUCACAUGCUACGUUUAUAGUUUGGGUCAUGUACAUCACAUCAUUCUUCCAAUGAUGUGAUCCAGUCAUCAAGUGACAACACUUGCGUAUGGUCAGAAAACCUUAACCAUCCUUGAUCAACUUGCUAUUCAACUAGAGGCUUACUAGGGACAUUGUUUUGUCUAUAUAUCCACACAUGCAUUUAUGUUUUCAUUCAAUACAAUUAUAGCAUGGAUAAUAAACGAUUAUCUUGAAAUAGGAAAUAGUUAUUAUUAUAUUUCCAACAAGAAGCCCUCAACCACGAGGAGGAACUACUCCCGCUUCAUGGAGGGAGGAAGCAACGUCGAUGGAGAUGAAUCCGGGGCAGUUCCGCAUCCCGGCAGGGUGCCGGCACAGGAAUUCUGAUCCCUCGAAACUUGUUGGCGAUGGCGGCGGCGAUCGGAAUAUCUUCUGGAGAAAAGGGUUUCAGAAUCAGGGUUUCCUCCAUGGGGGUAAAAUGGAGCCAAGGUAGGGCACCAGAGGGGGUGGGCCCCACCCAGGCGGCCUCGUCGUGCGGCCAGGGGGCAGGCCGCACCACCAGGUCGCUUGGAGGCCUGGUGACCCUACUUUGGCCCUCUGUCGGGCAUCCUGAAGCUUCCGUCACACUGAUUUUUAUAUAUUUUCUCGGGAUUUUGGGGGCUCUGGAAAUUGGGGUAAAGUCCCUGCAAUUAAAAGACAUCAGCAGACAGAAACUGGUACUGGGUGCACUAAGUUAGUAGGUUAGUCCAAAUAUGUGUAAAAAGUUAUAAAAUUGUAGCAAAACAUAUAACAAUGUCACCCAAAAGAGCAUGGAACAAACAUAAAUUAUAGAUACGUUUGGGACGUAUCUGUGAACUUGUAGAUCCGAGUGACUAAUAGGAUCUAGGGAUGUGACGGAUCACCGUGUCAGAUCCGGAUUUUCCGGGAUUUUAAGUUUUUGGUUACCGCGCGCCUUGCGGUGAUGACACCAUUGUCAGGCAAGUGGUUACCGCGCGCCAUUUUUGUUCUUAGACUUUGCUCCUUCGCUCACCGUCCGGCCAUCGGCACCUGGGGCGGCAUCCUCUUACUCUGGAAUGAGGAUCAUGUAGAGGUCUCCAACGUGCACCUCGGCACUCACUUGAUCUCGGCUAGCGUCUCCAUUCGCGCAUGUGGUACCUCCUUCAAGCUCACUACCGUCUACGACCCUACAGGCCACACCAAGAAAGAAGCCUUUCUCACAGAAGCUGUUGCCGCCAAGCCUUCUCAAGACUCAAAAUGGCUCAUCAUUAGGGAUUUCAGCCUUAUCAACAAAGCGGACGACAAGAACAACAACAACCUGGACUUCUGCCUGAUGGGUCUCUUCGGAAUAGCCCUCACCAACUGUCAGGUUCAGGAGCUAGAGCUGCAGAACCGGAGGUUUACUUGGAGAAACGAAAGGGAGACCCCUACUCUUGUGCGUAUGGACCGGGCUUUCUGCAACAGUGCUUGGGACCUCAUGUACGAGAAUCAUGUGCUACAUGCCCUGUCCUCGUCCCUCUCGGACCACUUCCCCCUACUCCUUUCCAACCAGAUCCACUACGGGAAUCAGGUAAUUUACCGUCUGUUAAGAUCUUUGCCGUUAGCUUUUCUUCAUGGAUGACGGCAAAGAGCACUUUUGCCGUUAGUUGCCGUUAGUUUCUGACGGCAAAGAAUGACUGACGGCGUAGACAAAGUUUGCCGUCUGUAAAAAAAACUGAUGACGGCAAAAAUAUUUUGCCGUCUGUAAAAGAAAACAGAUGACGGCAAAGCCAUUUUUUGCCGUUUGUAAAAAAACUGAUGACGGCAAAAAAAAUUUGCCGCCUGUAAAAGAAAACGGAUGACGGCAAAGACAUUUUUUGCCGUCUAUAAAAAAAUGUAGUCGGCAAAAAAGAAACACACCACGCGGAUCGAUCACGCGGAUCGAUGACGUGGCAUGAUCCCGCCCGUCGGAUGACAAACGUGGGAUGACACACAUACUUCUAUUUUACCGUCUUUAACAAAACGGAUGACGGCAAAGCUUUAUUUUUCCGUGUGUAAUAAAAAACGCAGAUAGCAAAGACAUAUUUUACCGUCUAUAAAAAAAUGAAACGGCAAACUUAUAUUUUGCCGUCUUUAAUAAAAAUGCAGUCGGCAAAGAUAAUUUUCUUGUCUUUGCCGUCAGUUUCAAAACAACUGUAGGCAAAAUUAUAUUAUCCAGUUUUCAAUUUUUUUGAAAAUGUAAACAAAGUCCGAAAAAUAUGAAAUUUGGUCUCAUGUUAGUUCAUAAGUCCUAGAAGAUGCAGAAAAAGUUUGAGAAAAUUUACAAAUUUUUAACAUGUCUAUUUUCUCAAAAUUACAAGGGUCAACAAACACAAAAAGGAUAUUGAAUUGCUAUUGGUUGAAAGCAACUCCCCUGGAUCGAUGACGUGGCACGGACCAUCACCCCCACCACGCAUCGCACGAACCAGGCAACCAGCCAUGCAUUAUUCUCUUUCUCUGAUCUAUGUCGUGGACAGGAGUGCCAGGCGCAUCCGCAACAUCCUCCUCUCCGCCUCUUGCCGGACCACGCCGCCAGCGAGACUCCCAGGCCUCCUCCCCCGUCGGCCCCGCUGGCCGCCGGCCUAGACUCCUCCCCCGUCGCCCCCGCCGACCACUGAGCCCGGCCUCGUCGCCCGUCGCACCCCGGCACAUCCCCACGUCCCUGCAGGCCUCCUCGCCGCGGCGCCAACGGCCACCUCGCGCGUCGGUCCUCCUCGCCCCGGCGCCAUCGGCCUCGUCGCCCGUCGCACCCCGGCGACCCCGGCACAUCCCUCGUCGUUCGUCGCACCCCGGCUCGAACUUCGGCCGUCUCUGCUCGUCCAUGGCUGGCUCGGUGGCAUUCGUGCCCUACCCCAUAUCCAGAUCCAGGAGCAGCGACCAGAUCGAGGAGGGACGCGUCACAACUCACAAACCCACCUCUCCUUCCAUGGCCUUGGCCGAGCGGGACCGGUGAUGCUUCUCCGACGAGGUCCUUGUUGCGUAUUAGUGGCGCUCAUCGAAUUAUAAUGGCAAACCCACCGAACGAACAUGCACAUAAACAAGAACACUCAUGUUAUUUUUAAAAAAAUAGAACAUCUUUGCCGUCUGGCAUUUUGGUUCGGCUCACAGCAAACAAUUGACGCCGUCCGUUGGUGGGAGGUUGUGUCAGAGUGAUUUUUUUGCCGUCUGUCUUAUAAUAGAUGACGGCAAAGUAUUUGUACUAACGGCAACAAUUUUGCCGUCUUUCCGAACAAAUGCUGACGGCAAAAAUACCCUUUGCGGGCACAUAGUCUGACGACAUUUUUUGUCGUCAUGAGUUGAUGGUAAAAUUUUUGCCGUCUGUAAUUCUUUCUUUGCCGUCUGUAGCGUGCUGACGGCAAAAUGCCCGAUUCCUGUAGUGAGACUGGCCCACGAAAACCGCCUUUCUUUCGCUUCGAGUCCUUCUCGACCAAAAUGUUGGGGUUCAAGGAGGUGGUCCAACAAGCUUGGUCUGCGCCCUCCUCAUACUCUCAGCCGGUCCAUGUCAUCAAUCACAAGUUCAAGGCCACAACACAUGGGCUCAGAUCUGGGAGCAAAGGCCUCUUCUCUGACAGCAAACUACAACUCCUCAUGGCCGUGGAUAUCAUUUACAGCUGGAUGUUGCUCAAGAGUCCCACGCACUCUCCGAGGAAGAAAGAUGGCUCCGUACUAACCUGAAACAUCAGGUUAAGGGUCUCCCUGCUCUGAAAAGAUUCCACACACGUCAAACCUCCAGAAUUCNNNNNNNNNNNNNNNNNNNNNNNNNNNNNNNNNNNNNNNNNNNNNNNNNNNNNNNNNNNNNNNNNNNNNNNNNNNNNNNNNNNNNNNNNNNNNNNNNNNNGCAUCUUGGGCGUGACAAGUUGGUAUCAGAGCAAGGACCGACCUAGGAGCCCCCUUGAUUGAUCGAACUUGGCCGAGUCGAGUCUAGUGAAAAACUAUUUGAGUCUUAGUUAUAUAUUGGAGAGUAGGAUUCUUUUUUCUCCUCUUCUAUGCUCCGGUGAGGAAUCUUGACGUAAUAAUUUAUUCUACUCCUCUUCUCACUCAAAAUUUUUUUAGGAUCACGCGGAUAUUUUUGAGAUCUAUAUGAUGCCGAUGUGACGGAGUUCUGUCUUGGUGCCUCCUGUCUGACUUGAUCUUCUUCCGGGGAGUUGAGCUCCAGGGGAUUCUCGAGCACAUCGUUAUCAUUCAGAUUUCUUAGUAUCUCAGGACGAAGGAUGUUCGUAAUUGCUUCAAUAAUAGUAGUGGCGAGAUAACCCCGAUGUCCCCAGUAUUGGUGCAGAUUGUUCGGGAGUACUGCCAUACUUUGUAUCGUUGUGGUUACGAGGGUCUGUUGUAGAUGAAGGUCCGAGAUUCUGGUCGUGUGUUGACGGAUGUGAUACAAGUGACGGGUUAGUAUAUGGAGUUGUGUGAUAUUACUCCUUGUAUCCGUGUACCAGAUUGCAUGACCAGAUACUUCGGGAAUUCAUAGGUGGGAAUUCCAGUAGUUGCUUAUAGGACAAUCUUCCAACAAAUAAAUGAUGUUAGGUUGGGGUUCGACAUCUAGUGGAUUCGUUUGUUCACGGUCGACUUACAGCGGUACACGUUGUGUCUUAAAGAGUCCUUGUAGCUUGCUACGACUCGGGGACGCUUCGUAUGUCUGGUGCACUGCCUUGCACUUGAUGACUACUGUAAAUCGUGCCCGUGCGAUCCUGUCCACGNNNNNNNNNNNNNNNNNNNNNNNNNNNNNNNNNNNNNNNNNNNNNNNNNNNNNNNNNNNNNNNNNNNNNNNNNNNNNNNNNNNNNNNNNNNNNNNNNNNNGUUAUGGGGACCCCCUUGAUAAUUCGUUUUAGAUUAAGGCUGGUCUGGCAAGGCCCAACCUUGGUUCUACAUUUGCCUAAACACCUAAUAAAAUUGCAUAGGGACUUUCCGGACCCCGAGGAUAAUUUAAUCAACCCCCGGGCCAGUGCUCCUCAUGAGUGUUGGUCCACCCACCUAGCAGUCGGCGGUGCCACCACGGGGCAACUCGAGGUUUGGCUACCGUCCACUUUGCAUAGACGGUGUGUCCUGAGAACGAGAUACGCGGCUCCUAUCGGGUUCGUCGACACACCGGGUGGCCUUGCUGGAUUAGUUUUACCUUUGACGAGAUAUCUUGUGCAUCGGGACUCCGGUGAUGCUUUGGGUAAUCUCAGAGUUGAGGUUUUCCACUAGGGAAUCCGACGAGAUCGCGAGCUUCGUGAUUGAGGAUUUCUAUGCGGCUUGUGGUAAUUUGUGAUGGACUAGUUGGAGCACCCCUGCAGGGUUAAAUCUUUCGGAAAGCCGUGCCCGCGGUUAUGUGGCAACGUGGAAGCUUUGUUUAACACUGGUUCUAGAUAACUUGAAGUUAAUUAAUUAAAACAUGCCAACUGUGUGCGUAACCGUGACUGUCUCUUUCGUGAGUUCUUUCUCCGAUCGAGGACACGGUGGGGUUAUGUCUGACGUAGGUAGGUGUUCAGGAUCAUUCAUUUGAUCUUCUGUAGUUCACGUCCGUUAUGUGUAGAUCUCCCCCCUCUUAAUUCUGGUACUCGUAAGUUAGCCACCAAAUAUGUGCUUAGCCGCUGCUGCAACCUCACCACUUAACCUUGCCUCACCCAUUAAGCUUUGCUAGUCUUGAUACCUUUGGAAAUGAGAUUGCUGAGUCCCCUGUGGCUCACAGAUUACUACAACACCAGUUGCAGGUACAGGUAAAGGUUACAUGACGCGAGCGCGUUGAUUGUUCAUUUUGAGUUGCCUCUUCUUCUUCUUCUNNNNNNNNNNNNNNNNNNNNNNNNNNNNNNNNNNNNNNNNNNNNNNNNNNNNNNNNNNNNNNNNNNNNNNNNNNNNNNNNNNNNNNNNNNNNNNNNNNNNNNNNNNNNNNNNNNNNNNNNNNNNNNNNNNNNNNNNNNNNNNNNNNNNNNNNNNNNNNNNNNNNNNNNNNNNNNNNNNNNNNNNNNNNNNNNNNNNNNNNNNNNNNNNNNNNNNNNNNNNNNNNNNNNNNNNNNNNNNNNNNNNNNNNNNNNNNNNNNNNNNNNNNNNNNNNNNNNNNNNNNNNNNNNNNNNNNNNNNNNNNNNNNNNNNNNNNNNNNNNNNNNNNNNNNNNNNNNNNNNNNUUCUUCUUCUUCUUCUUGGAUCUAGGAUGGGUUCCAGGCCGGCAGCCUGGGAUAGCAAGGAUGGACGUCGUUCUUCUUUUGUCGUUUAUUUUCGUCCGUAGUCGGACCCUGCUCUUACUCUUGAUGAUUAUGUAAUGUACUGAUGUGACUCUGAUGUAGCUUGUGGCGAGUGUAAGCCAAUUCUAUAUUAUCUCUUCUUUUCAGUACAUGUACUUGUAACGAUAUCCAUUCUUGCGACACGACGAGAUGCGCUUCUAUCCCUGACGAGGCCCUCGUGCCAAAUUGAGGAUAGGAUCGCAUCUUGGGCGUGACANNNNNNNNNNNNNNNNNNNNNNNNNNNNNNNNNNNNNNNNNNNNNNNNNNNNNNNNNNNNNNNNNNNNNNNNNNNNNNNNNNNNNNNNNNNNNNNNNNNNGCAUUAAAUAUGGUGAUUAAAUAGCAACCUACACGUAGAGAACAUCUCCAACGGAGCUACGGAUCAAAAGUUACGAGCACCGCAAGAUAUGAUGACAUGAAUGCGAUAUGUGUGCAACGACGGCUACGAGCGCUUCAAAACAACCAACCCACAAGAGAAAAUGAAACUACACAAGAUUCUAAGCAAGUUUCUUGUAGGACACGAUCAAAACGGAGCUACGGUUCGAAAACUACGAGCAAAACAAGAAAUGACUACAAACUGCCAAAACCAGCCACCUAGCAACUUAUACGCCUCACAACUUCGGCUACACAACUCCGAUAAACUCAAGCAAGGCAUGGCAUGAAAGAGGGCAAGACGCACUACUACAAACAACUAACAACAACUAGCAUGGCACCAAGGAGCACUAGGAAAAGAAGACACAAAAUGGCAUCUCAAACACUAUUCCAGACUUAGUGAAAAUUACACCUCGUGAAAGUGCAGUUUUCAGCCUGAAGCUAUAUUGACAGCAGCAAAAACCUAAUAUACAGGACUCCAAAUGGCAUGAAACUUAACAGCAUGCUUGAGAAACAUAAGGGGUACAACUAACUCCAUUGGAGCAACUCCAAAAGAUCUACAGACCACAAGCUANNNNNNNNNNNNNNNNNNNNNNNNNNNNNNNNNNNNNNNNNNNNNNNNNNNNNNNNNNNNNNNNNNNNNNNNNNNNNNNNNNNNNNNNNNNNNNNNNNNNGAUCUAGGAUGGGUUCCAGGCCGGCAGCCUGGGAUAGCAAGGAUGGACGUCGUUCUUCUUUUGUCGUUUAUCUUCGUCCGUAGUCGGACCCUGCUCUUACUCUUGAUGAUUAUGUAAUGUACUGAUGUGACUCUGAUGUAGCUUGUGGCGAGUGUAAGCCAAUUCUAUAUAACUCUUCUUUUCAGUAGAUGUACUUGUAACGAUAUCCAUUCUUGCGACACGACGAGAUGCGCUUCUAUCCCUGACGAGGCCCUCGUGCCAAAUUGAGGAUAGGGUCGCAUCUUGGGCGUGACAGCCUUCCACCUUUUACCAAGUAUAUAGGUGCAUUAAAUUAAAUAGCAUUAAAUAUGGUGAUUAAAUAGCAACCUACACGUAGAGAACAUCUCCAACGGAGCUACGGAUCAAAAGUUACGAGCACCGCAAGAUAUGAUGACAUGAAUGCGAUAUGUGUGCAACGACGGCUACGAGCGCUUCAAAACAACCAACCCACAAGAGAAAAUGAAACUACACAAGAUUCUAAGCAAGUUUCNNNNNNNNNNNNNNNNNNNNNNNNNNNNNNNNNNNNNNNNNNNNNNNNNNNNNNNNNNNNNNNNNNNNNNNNNNNNNNNNNNNNNNNNNNNNNNNNNNNNCAACUGGUGUUGUAGUAGUCUGUGAGCCACAGGGGACUCAGCAAUCUCAUUUCCAAAGGUAUCAAGACUAGCAAAGCUUAUUGGGUGAGGCAUGGUUAAGUGGUGAGGUUGCAGCAGCGGCUAAGCAUAUAUAUGGUGGCUAACUUACGAGUACAAGAAAUAAGAGGGGGGAAAUCUACGCAUAACGGACGUCACUACAGAUGAUCAAAAGAAUGAUCCUGAACACCUACCUACGUCAGACAUAACCCCACCGUGUCCUCGAUCGGAGAAGGAACUCACGAAAGAGACAGUCACGGCUACGCACUCAGUUGGCAUAUUUUAAUUAAGUUACUUCAAGUUAUCUAUAACCAGUGUUAAACAAAGUUUCCACGUUGCCACAUAACCGCGGGCACGGCUUUCCGAAAGAUUUAACCCUGCAGGGGUGCUCCAAGUAGUCCAUCACAAAUUACCACAAGCCGCAUAGAAAUCCUCAAUCACGAAGCUCGCGAUCUCGUCGGAUUCCCUAGUGGAAAACCUCAACUNNNNNNNNNNNNNNNNNNNNNNNNNNNNNNNNNNNNNNNNNNNNNNNNNNNNNNNNNNNNNNNNNNNNNNNNNNNNNNNNNNNNNNNNNNNNNNNNNNNNCAAAACUGACAAUCUCUCCCUAAGUAGCAAGGUUUCGAACGAGAACUCAUCUCUUACAAAGGGAUUUCAUUUUUUUAACUUAUUUGAACUCCAUACUUUUUGUGUGUUCAAAAUGCACCAUUCAAAGGGACAUCACAAAAUUUCAACAAUUUCUGACUUCAUUUGGUAUAUUUCUUGCAUUUACUUAUUUUUUUUGAGCUAGUUGACCCUGAAAUUGAAAAGCACUACAAAUGAACUCUGAAAAUGUUGAAAGUUGGCAUGCUAUCAUCAUUUCACCCACAUAGCAUGUGUUAAAAAGUUGAGAGGGCUACGACAAAAACUGGAUGCACUUCGUGUACAAAACUGACAAUCUCUCUCAAAGUAGCAGGGUUUCGAACGAGAACUCAUCUCUUACAAAGGGAUUUCAUUUUUUUAACUUAUUUGAACUGAAGAAUUUUUGUAUAUAUAUGUGGUCGAAAUGCAUGAUACCAUGAAGUUAGAAAGGGCUAAACCAUUCAAAAGUAGCAAAUGAAGUUAGAAAGGGCUAAACCAUUCAAAUUUGGAAACUAUAAUGGCACAAACAGAAACUAGACAUAUAUAAAUUGGUCCAAGAAAUACAUGAUACUAGUCCAAACAGUACAUAAUAAUAGCUACAAUAGAUAUAUAUAUACAAGUGUUCGACGUUAAGAACACUACUCGUCUGAAUCAUCUGAAUCAGAAUGUCCAACUACCUCGAGGUGACGCUGGCCAUAGUGGACGACUCGAAUCUUGCGGUACAACUCGUAUGAAACAUAUGCAUCUUUUGUUGCAUACUCAAUGUUGAUAGGAUCAAGUGGGCCCUUCUCCCAAAGUCUGUGCUGAGACCUUGGGAAACUGGUCUUCAUAUCAGCAUAUGAAUCGCCGAUCAAGGCAACUGCCAUACGAGCCAUCGAAGUCCUGUCAUGUUGAAGCUUGAAUAUCGUUUGGAGAUCAACGUGGCAACCAGCUGGUAUCUCAAUACCGAAGCUGUGCCUCAUCUUCAGCCUGUCGUUCCUUAUGUCAACGGAAGCAAAAGUGACGCCGCUGCCAAGGAACUCCAUGAGUCCUGGACAAUGCUUGUCACUCCUGCAACAGAAACAAAUUAAAAUGGACCAAAUGUUACAUACUGCUGCAAUAAGGAAACAUGUUUCACUACAACUAAAGAGAAACUUAUCUUUAGGAUUCAUAUAGAACAUAUGCAAUGGAAACUAGAGAGAUCACUACAACUAUUUGAAGCGAACCAACUAUGAUUCCAAUGGAACAUAUUAAACACUAGUUCAUUCUAAUACGAUUUUUGCAGAUUAUGGAAAACUAUUCCAAUUAGAUUGUGCUCCCCUUCAACUAAUCAAAAUUGUUUCACUACAACUAUUUGAAGGGAACCAACUAUGAUAGAAACAAAUAAACUUAUACGUGGAAUUCACUAUGAUAGAUUAUGGACAUUAUGCAUAAUAUGCAAACAAAAGAAAGCUUGUUAACUAGUAAAUCCAAACUACAAACUAAGUCUUAUCGGAUUGACAAAAUUCGAUCCAAUGUGAAUUAUAAAUGAACACAAAUAAAUCUAUUCCUACUAAAUAUAAUAUUAAGUAUAAUCGGACUCUAGCUACACUACUAAAUCAACACAAAAGAGUACGUAGCAUGUCCUAUUCAACACUAAAACAUAUUGAACGCUAAAAAAUUGUACAAUAACAAAUUAAUUUCUACUAAAUAUAAUCAGAUACUACACUACUAAAACCAAUUCCACACAUACUACACUCAGUGGCGAAGCCACAUGGAGAGGAGUGUGGUCAAUUGACCACACAGGUUUUUGGCAAAUCCAUUGUACAGAAGAAGAAACCAUGUAUUUUUUUAUAAAUUUAGAAAAAAAACACAUGUAUAUGACAUUGUAGAAUUGAAAUGACAUCACACACUUCUCAUCCUGGCACCGCCACUGACUACACUACUAAAUCAAAUGUACAAAUACACAAAAUCUACUACGCUACUUAAUCAGAUACACAAAUACACAAAAUCCAUGUGAACGUGGGAGUAGUGACCCUAGGGGAGGGAUUAUCAGAUACACAAAUACACAAAGAAAGCCUCAGAACUUACUUCGCCCAUUGGAAGAUCACGACAUGGCUUGCGAAGCAUAUUUGAAUGACGGCAACACCACGUUGAUCGGCCGUGUACUCCAGAUCAAGGCCGAAGAACUUCUCAUGAUCCGGUGCGGGGUUAAACCAUCGUUCCUUCAACUGUUGAAGGAAAAACGGCACCUCCUCGCUCAGGUUCGUGUACACGACACGGAGCUUCGUCGCGCCAUGCGCGACCACCUCACGAAAGAUAGUUGGCAUGGUGGAAGAAGAGAAGGGAAGAAGAGAGGAGAAGAAGAGAGGGCGACGCGACAGAGAAGAAGAACAGAGAGGGUGACGCGAGAGAGAAGAAGAACAGAGAAAUGGCGAUUGUACGCUUCGGUUCGUGCUUUUCAUCGCCCGAAACGACGCGGGAUUUAAACCGUUUGGGCCUUUAGUCCCGGGUUGAGCCACCAACCGGGACUAAAGAGGUAUACCAAACGGUUGCCACCACUACGGCAGACCACGUGUUAGGCUUUUAGUCCCGGGUUCAACCACCAACCGGGACUAAAGAGGUAUGCCAAACGGUUGCCACCACUACGGCAGGCCACGUGUUAGGCGUUUAGUCCCGGGUUCAACCACCAACCGGGACUAAAGAGGUAUGCCAACGGUCGCCCCACUACGGCAGGCCACGUGUUAGUCCUUUAGUCCCGGGUUGAGACGCCAACCGGGACUAAAGAGGUAUACCAACGGUUGCCACCACCACGGCAGGCCACGUGUUAGUCCUUUAGUCCCGGGUUGAGCCACCAACCGGGACUAAAGGGGGAUACGAACGGUUGCCACCACCACUGCCCACCGCGUAGCCCUUUAGUCCCGGUUUGUGACACGAACCGGGACUAAAGGCUCCUUACGGGCCGGGACUAAAGCCUCGAGGGAGGCAUUGAGAAUUGGGGCGACGUGGCCGGGCCUUUAGUCCCGGCCCAGAGGCACUCCGGGACUAAAUGGUCCAGGCCAAAGGCCCGUUUUCUACUAGUGAAGAUCUCCACAACCUUUCAAUUGGAGGGAUUGUCUCUCAAGACCAAUUUCUCCUAGAGAUUUGGAAGAGAACUACCCUAGAUCGCUUUACUUUCUUGUCAUGUUAUUAGAUGCCAGAUGUACCCCUUCUAUUGAGUUGAGUUUUGAUGGAUUAUUUUGAAUCUUUCCUUAAUUGUCCCUCUUUUCGUGUUCCCCAUGUGAUUUUGCCUAGGCCUUGUCUUAAAUCAUGUGGUAUAAUGAUCAAGGUUGGCAUGAUUUGGACCCCAUCCCCUAAUUUUCUAGCAUUAUUUUGAAUUAUUUUCUUACCUAACUCGAAAAUUCUCACCCACCCCAAAAUAUAUAUAGUAUCACCUGAUUUUGAGCGAUUUGUUGUAUCUAGUGACUAUUGGUUGGGUUUGAUACACGGAUCUGGUGUUUUGCAAGUUGUUCAAAAAAUGUUCGUUAAUUUCAAAACAUCCACCAACUUCGAAAAAUAUGUUCGUCUAUUCUAGAAUUGUUCUACAGACAUAAUACUGAUAAAAAUCAAAGAUGCACAAGCAGGAUAGUGGCUAACGCCUAGCGCUUCUAGCGGGGAUACUAGGGAUCGAUCCCGCGAAUAUUCCGAGUUGUGCACGGGCACCUCAAAAGAAAGCAUUUUUACUGCAAAAAUCAUAACAUUUUACAAACACACACACACACACACACACACAGGCAUAUAUACUACACAUGUGUAAUAAUUCAUUUCAUUUUAAAUUCACAAGUGGCGUACAACAAAAAAGACAAAUAUAUAUUUUCAAAUGGGCCAGAUUUUUUUGUGAUUAGGCCUGAAAUUUGGUUUUGUACAGCUAACAAAUUACAUUUAGUCAAAACAAAACUUUAUGGAUCAGCAGUGAAUAGAUACAAGUUUCCACAGAAUUAUCUUCAGUAUUUUUUGAAACUUUUAAUUAUGGUUUUUGAUUUUUUCGAAAAAAGGGCACACAAACUUCCCCUUUCUUUUUCUCACGCAAAUGCCUUCAUGGGCUGGCCCUUGUGCGGGGCUUGACUCCUCUACUUUUUUCAUUUUCUUUUUUGUUCUUUUCUUUUCUCAUUCUGUUUUCUUCCUUCUUUCAACUAAUUUGGAUUUUUGCAACUUUUCAAAGACAUAUUCAAGAAACCAUAAAAUUUAUGUGAGUUCCAAAAAUGUUAAGGAAAUCAUAUUUUUUGUGGAUUAAAAAAAUGUAGCGGUUUUGCACAAUUGGUCAUCAAUUAUAAAAAGUAUUCACGUUUUACAAAAAUGGUCAGAAAGUAAAACCAUGUUCAUGAUUUUAACAAAAUGAUAGUGUAUAAAUUUUUUAGAAAAUAUUAAGAGAUCUGAAGAAAAAUCCAUGAAAUUUUAGAAAAUGUUCACAUAAAUUAAAAAAUGCAGAUUUUUAAAAUUUAUUCCCAAUUUUUAAAAAAGUCUCAACAAUUCAAAAAAUGUUUGUUGAGUAGAAAAUUUUUCAUGAACUCAAAAAUUGUUAAACUAUUUCAAACAAUGUUCGUCAAUUUUUAUAAAAUCCAAAAUUUUAAAACAAUGUUUAUCGAUUUAAAAAACUGUUCGCCGAUUCAAAAAUCUUUUAUGUCUAUGAUUUGAUUAGUUUUUCAAAAGUCCUUAUAUGUCUAGACGUUGGGAGUAGUUCGUUGUCGAUGAGAUUUUUUAAAAGUUUUAAGCAUUUCCUUGCGCAACACAAUGAAAAGUUUGUGGCGUACAGUGGCAAACUUAUAGCCUUGGAUUUACAUUGUCCAAUGUAUUGUGAUCAGCGUGGGCAUCGCACCAUCAUCAAUGUGCGUGGGAAGAAAAAUAAGUGGCAACAUGGUGAGCCACCGUGUUAAAAUAGAAGACCUUCGUAUGUCAGAGUAUUGAGUCAUACUCAUUUGACUUUCGCAUAAUUUAUUUGUCUCCCGUUACAAUACACGGACAUGUUUGCUAGUAUUCAUAAUAGGAAUUGCCUUCGGGCGACGUCUAGUGGGCUAAUCCGUUAGCGUUGUUUGGUCACCUCAUGCUUAUGUUCGUUUUGCUUCAUUUUUCUGUGUUUAUUUUCGUUUUCCUUUUUUUUAUUUCUUUGGUUUUAUUUCUUUUCUCACGGAUUUUCUUUGAUUUUACAAAAAAAAUAUUAUUUGUUUUUUUUAUUUCUUCGUUAUACUUUAGCUUUCUUUUGUUUCUUUCAAGUUUUUUUUUCAGAUUUUCUUGGUUUUCUAUUCUUUCUAGUCUGUUUUCUUUUUUUUUAACACAUAUCUUCUUUUUCUCAGUGCAAAUUUUUUAUUUCUGAAGGACGUAUGCACUAAUCAAUAAAGACUAGCUAUCUUAGCUAAAGAAAAAAAACACAAUAAGUCGUACAUAGUCUCCCCCGAAUGGGGUGGAGUUUUUGUCGGGACGCAGUGAGGACGGGAUGGGCUAGAGUGGUCUGGUCCAGCGUCGGGGCUGUGUUCGGGCAUGUUUGAUCCGCCUCAUAUCCACCCCAUGUGUGCGCUUUGGUUUGAGCGAUGCAUACCUUAGUUGUUUGUACUAGGUAUCGGUUGGCCGGUUGUAUGCUUUUUAACCACACAAUGACCGGGACGGAUGUGUAGGUGAGUGUAGGAGCCGUUCGAUCUUUAUUUCUGUUGUUGGAUAGCUGAACCUUAAAACACUAACAGAAGAACAGAACACCUCGGCUUGUUGGUGCCACGGAGGGUAAUCUGUUUCUGAGAUGGUAGACAUGGAGUGGUGUUGUGGUCAUGGAACCUAAACCAUUCUAGCUAGAAUGGUCUUCAUUUAUGUAUGUCUUAUAAGUUUCAGCAAUGAAAUUGGGGGGCAAUCCCCUCAAUUCCGAAAAAUGUGGUUUAACAGGCCGGGUGCCGGGAAGAAGAGGCCAGCCCAUCGCGCGAGCAUUCACCAUGUUCCAGGAAACACGGCGGCGCGACAGAUAGGCAUGGACCUGCCUGGCAGUGGACAUCGCAUAGCUCGAACUCCCGAGCAUGUACACUCAUGAUCGGUGGAGGGCGAUGCGGGGCACAAUCUCCUCAUUUUUGGGGGCUUUUCUUGAAUCCUCUGUGAUUGGCACGUCCCAGAAGUCGGGGUCUAUUCCCUACUAGAUUUGCUGCCGGAGAUGACCAUGAUGACGCGGGAGGGGAAGAGACGAAGAGCGGAGCGGAUGUAGUGGAGUGGGACUAGGGAGUACGAGAGUAGGGCUUUGGUCCGUCUUAGGAUAGGGUGGGAAUUUUCUAGGGACACAGUUAGGACGGGGUGGGUUACCGCGGCCGAUUCAACGAGGUGGCCAUGUUGGAACGUGUUUGGUCUGUCCCAUAUCCGUUUCACAUAUUGGCUUGUGUUUGAGGGGUAUUAGGCAUCGUCAAUGUUUGGACUGAGCAUAGGUGGACCAGUUGUGUGCUAAUUUUUAACUUAUGAGAAGUUUAGGUGAGUAUAGCGAGCCAUUCGAUCUUAUUUGACCACCUUCGUCUCCACUGUUGGAUAACUGAAGCUUGAAACAUGAGAGCAAUCAAUGGGUGAGUAUUCGUUCAGAAGCCUCUCCAAGGGUCACUUUGGAUCAAUUGAAAAAACUCGUCGACAAGGUAUGUUCGUAAUUCCCUUCAUGACUCGUUUAGGAAUAACGGAUUCGUGGGGUGGUUGGAGUAUUUCAGGAGGAACUGUAACAAAUCCGGGUAUUUGGAGUUAUGAAGGUGUGGCAGCUACGCAUAUUGUGUUUUCUGGCUUGUGUUUCGUUGUACUCUUGACAUUUCCUUCAAAUUUUGUUUAUUUUAUCUUUUUUCGUUUUUGGUUUUUAGAUGAUUUUUUUUGGGAGGGGGUGGGGGGUUUGGCUUUUCGGUUUUCCCAAGUUUUUCUAGGAUUUAGACCAAAAAAAUUAUUAAAAAACUAUUUGCAUGAAAAAAACAUGUUUUUUUCUUUUUGUGGAGGCACAAAUUUGCUUUCACAAGAGGCACGUCUGUGUUUCUCAAAAAGAGAAUAAAAAUGCAUUUUCUUUGCUUUCUUCCGUGAGAGUCGUGCCUCUGAAAAGGGAAAAAAGUUCUCCCGAUUUGGAUUUUUUUCAUCCGUUUUUUUCUUUCAUGAAGAAAAGUUCAUCGAAAUGUAUCAACAUCGCAUCAAGUUUUGGAGAUCUCAACGCGAGAAAUCCAACAAAAAAACUGUUCAACAUUUGGACGCAUGAUUUGAAAAAUAAAACUUGUUGGAUAAACGAAUCUUAGAAAAAAGAAAAGAUACCACAUUGCGAUAAAUGAUGCAGACGCAGUACAAUCUGAAAUAGUUGGAAUGACCUUAAAAAAUUGCUACUUACUGAGUAGGGUUUUUUGGAGCUCGGCCUCCAUGAAGCCUUUUAUUUUUGAAAAUUUCCAAAUUCAAACUUUCUGGUUUCAAAACAAAACUGAAAAAAUAUGCAAGUACACAAUGAUCAAACGUAUACGUGUGCAAAAAUUUAGGAUGAAAUACUUUGAGAUGCAGUCUGUGCAAAAAUUCAUGUACUUUUGAAAUGAAUAGUAUCAUGUGUUAAAAAGCCACAAAUAUUCUUUUCUUGCACAGACCUUAUUUCAACGUAUUUUGUCCUAAAAAUUUACACCCAUAUGUGUUAUGCCUCCAUGUAUAUCUGCAUUUUUUCUCAGAUUUUUUAAAAUUGUAAAAACAUGAAUUUUGGGUUUUUUUCAAAAACCGGCCUUCAUGGAGGCCGAGCUCCAAAAGGCAUUUUGGCUUACUUAUAUUGGUUGAAACGUUAGUUGUCUAUAAUAAGUUAAUAACAGGCCGGCCCAUCCCGCGAGCAUUCACCGCAUUCCAGAAAACACGGCUGCCGGCCUCCGUUUCAUCGGAGGAGCACCAGUCAACACGGUCCCUAGAGGGGCUGCGGGUAGAGGCAGGGGACGGCAUGGCGGACAAGGGAGUCGGCGGUCCGAGUGACCAGCGAAAUAGCCAAACUGAGAUUAACCAAGAGCCUGAGCAGAUCGAAUUCAACAUCUUUUUACUUCCACGGUAAAUGAAUGGCUAUAGUUUCUUGUGCUACUGCUUUUGUCUGAAUAUAGUCAGAACCCUCUAAUUCAUCGGCUAGCAGUUGGUUCAAUUUCCUGUUCCGCCACAUAUCUUUAGAGAGAUGGUGCGGAUAUAUUUGAUUUUCCCAUGCCAGGCAAUGAAGAAUCUAAACAAACACAGCUAUCGAUCUGCUUAAUUUGGCACAAGGUUUACCUUGACUGGUCCUGUAUCAUGAUCUUCAAAAUAAUUAUCGAUACAAAGUUGUUGAAUGCCCUUUUCCUCUUGUCUGUAUGCACCAAUUUGGUGCGGAUGCCAGUGGUAAUCCUCCUCUUGGAAACCAAAUUCCAUUGCAAGCUUCGUCACCUGUAAGCCGGGCCUGCCUCUGCCUGCGCAUUAAUCAGGGUGAUCAAAGUAGGAAGUGUAAGCAAUAUAGUAGAAGCCAUAUGAUCAUUCUAGCAAAAAUCGAUUCGGCCGGCCAAAUGAAGAUUUCCUUCUACACGGCACUCAUCGAAGCUCGAGGUGAUCUUCAAUGGUGAGGAUCACUCACCCCAUGGUGUCGACGGCGGUAAGGCCUCCUCCUCGUUGCCCUUCAAAGCUGAAGACCACCAACUCAUCCUCGGGUUAUGUCAUUGCCCGAUUGUGCUGCUGGUGAUUGUUUGGCUUGCUGGAGCUGCUCUCUUAUACAAGUAUAGUUAUUAUAGAGUUGUUGGACAAAACACCAGGAAUUCAAUAUACCGUGUUGAAUUGUAAGCUGGACCUAUAGUACAUAAAAAAAAUACAUAUGAGAACGACUUAAAAAGAUUGGCAAUUACCGUGUGGGUUCUCAAAGGAAGGUUGACUUGACCUGGCCGUGCACUCAACCCCUGAGAGCUCCCUAUUUCUCAAAGGAAGCUGCAAAGAUUUGCUUGCAUAUAUAGUUUCCAUUCCACCAAACAAGCAGUUUGCCCACGAUUAUGCGCUGCAGCUGAAUUAAGAUUGUGCAAGGGCAGCCUUAGGAAGCUUCCGGCCGGCCUGGUAAUUUAUGUUGAUUUUCAUCUGUCUUGACUUGUUUGCGGUUAUCAACAUUCACCUGAUAAUCAUGGGCCAUCAAAUAUUUGCUAGGGGCUUUCUCAGCUGAAAUAAUCAUAGUACGUCUUGAAGCAAAUUUCCUUACAUCUUGGAUCUACAAAGGUGACCCAUAGACGAUGGUAAGAAUCCAGUACGUCUUGAAGCAACUUUCCUUUCCUUUUUAUUCAGUCUUGUUUGAAUGAAUGUAAAUGAAGUAUUUUUGUGAUAUGUUGGUCGAGCUUUUCAUUUCCGUUUAUGUACAUCUUGUGAUCUACUCUUCGAGCUCAUCAAGAUUGAAGUCGCUCUUCUCUAAUAAAGCCGUGGCUUUUGGUUGUGCACCAGGACAUUGAUCCGGAGCACGCGAAACGUGUCUUUGUCGAAAAAUUGAAGAACAGGCCGGGUUCGACUUCUCGCCGAAGGUGCCGUGAUAAUGGUCUGCCCAGUUCUUCUUGCUGCCUCGCUGAACAAGGUUCAGACGACGAGCAACGGACAUGGCUUCGCGCGCGGCAGCAUCUCUCCAUCAGUGGCGGACCUAGGAUAAAAACUGAGUGGGGGCACUCAUUUAUGAAAAACUCAUGAACAUGUUUGCACAAUCAUAUAAAAACGCUUAGUGCUUUUCAUCCAUAAAAAAUAUCUAGCAUUUUUUCUAUAAUAAUAAGAUACUUGAUCCACGUUCUAAACAAAAGAUACUUCAUCCAGUAGUAACAUCAUAAGUUUAUCAUUAAAUUAAGCAAAACUUACAUUUUAUAUCCCAGUAGUUCAUCUGUAGCAAAAGGCCAUUACAUUUCCUUUCUCCCACGACGAUCUUUCAUCUUAUGAAAACGAUCAACAAUCACUUCAUCGGUAAUUGUGUCCAGUCAGCAGUGUUUGUAUCUAGGGGAGUUUACUAAUUACUAGUUGGGGAAAAGGAUUAGGGAGAUGCAUGCAGGACCGAGUAGCAGACUAGCACUCUAGCAGUUGAGAGAUGAGCCUACGCAGCGUACAUACCUGAUCAGAGAUAGAGAUUAGUUGGUUCAGUCCUGAGUUGGUUGCUGCUGCCUGCGCUACACACAGGGCCUUCGACGCUGGCCGCCGCUGCCUACUGCUAACGCCCAAUGCUGACGCUGCUGUCGGCGGCCGGCGACGGGCGACCGAAUUGUCCGAGAUGCGAUCCACCGAUGGUCCAACUCCAACCAAGCAGCGGCCGAGGACACAGGGCUCGCCUCUUCGUUUUUUUCGCUAUUAAUCCCAGAGUCGAAGCGGCAGGCUUCGGGCUUCAGGCUUAAUUUUAUGUGAUUAGCUUUGUUUAUUGGGCUUUCUAAUCGGAGUGGGGGCACAGCUAAAUCCUGACUGGGGGCCUUGUAGCUCGCCUCGGACCUAGUACGAGGAGGACCAAGAAUCGAGUGGGGUCCUGGGCCCCCGCUCCCUAUAACAUAGGUCCGCCCCUGCUCUCCAUUGUCGGCCUUAACUCUUGUAGCUGGUUUACUAUCGUUCCUCUGCCUCUGCAUCUGCUUGUCUUUUAGGAUUGUAACAGACAGGCUGGCGCACUUGCUGUUUGUGGGCUCCAAGUGGCUCGUCCACCUCUGUGCCCUUCUGUUGGGCAUCCUACUUCUUCGUCGACCGGAAACACGUCUAUUACGUGCCUAUUCCUGGCGUCUCCAUAUUCUUUGUCCUUCGGCGCUGCUGGAAGAUGUACCGGCAUGACCAUGGUCGCGAUGCGGUGUUGUACACAGGCGAUCACCAAGGCAGGCUUGAAACCUCGGUCGAUUUCUCGGCCUCCGUCACUGCCCUUCUGUUUCUGGGGUUGGAAGGCUUGGCAUUGGAGGGGCAGAGUAGAAGCGCACAGAGACUGCGAGCUGCCUCGCUCGUGUUGAGCUUCAUUGCUUGCCUUGCGGGCGUGCUUUUCAUGCUGCUGGCUACGGUGCCUCCAAUGAUCACAUGCGCUGAUCAAAGCAACGCCGCAUGCAACUACAUCGAGGCUAUGAACAAGUUUCUGGCCGGCUUCUUCGCCCUCAACGUGUUUUUGAUCACGUGGGCGCCGCUGGGAGAGCUGGCGUGGCUAGUGUGGAUUCAGCUAUUGGUUUCUCUACUCGCUUGGGCAUACGAAAGUCUUACCGACACCGAACCGCAAGAUCAACAGCAACAUGUUAUGCCGGCGACAAUGGAGCUAACCAAGGUCAUCUCUGCGGGCUUCCUGGCUGUAUCGGUGCCAGCCGUCAGUAACAAGUCAGUUAGCGGCUUCACCUGUGCGUUCGUGCUCAUCACCGGAACAGCUGUUAUCACAGGCAUCUUAUGGAGAGUUUUGACGCACUGGACGCCCGCGGGGAGCUCAAUGAUCAAAGCUUUUAAUUUUGCUUGUUUCUGUACCCAUCUGUAUGUUUGUGCUGCUGUCACUCCGUUUUCAUUCAUGGCUUACAAGUUACAACGCUCUAAUGAGCUGAAGCUUUUGUAGCCUAAUAAACAGUCAGGUGAAUUUCAUUGAGGCUUGCUCCAGUGCUUCUAGUCGUUGCUAGUUGGUCGGCGUAGCUGGAUGUAAUAGUUGUUGCUUCUACUGUUUUCCGUAGUACCACUAGUAGAAAACAGGACUAUCAUUUCGGCCCUCGCCAGCCCAUUAGUCCCGGUUCUUCAAGAACCGGGACCAAUGGGGGGUAUUAGACCCGGUUCGUGAGCCCAGGGGGUCGGCCGGGGCCUCCUGGGCAUUGGUCCCGGUUCGUGUGUAACCAUUUGUCCCGGUUCGAGCCACGAACCGGGCCCAAUGGUCCUCGCUGCUGGCCCACAACCAUUGGUCCCGGUUCGUGGCUUGAACCGGGACAAAUAACUUGCCUACAUAUACCCACCGCCGCGGUAGAGCACUCCACAGUGCUCUGUUUUUGUCAAGCCGGCGAGGGGAGGGCAUUUGGGUGCUCUAGUUCUUAUCUUCUUUCUGAAAGAAAAAAAUUCUGACUUCAGAUAGAUACUUGUCUAAUUUUCUUACUUUUAUUAUUCCUUGUUAUUAUAUAGUGCGAUGGUUUUGGUAUCCGCCCCCGUCGGCCCUCGUCCUGUCUAUGAUUCAGAUGUGGUAUAUAUUAUCUUUUCAUAACUAUUUGGUUCAUUUAUUGUUUAUGACAAUUAUGCCGACCAAUGUGACAUAGAUUGUAUUUAUCUAGGAGCUUGUUGAACCGGAAAUUCCAACCGACCCUAUUGUCGAGAGGUUAAAUUUAGUUGAAGAAGAAAACAAUUACUUGAAGAAAAAACUAAGAAAAAUUGAGGAGGAGAAGAUGAUAUUGGAGUUGCAUGUUGCGGAUGUCGUCAAUGAUCACAAGAUCAAAAUGGAUGCAAUGCGGUUGAAGAUUAAAAAUAUUAGAAAAUAUGUCAUUCAUACCGAGGCUUGGUAUCAUUAUGCAGUUGGAUCAGUUGUUACCUUGAUUGCGGUUAUGAUCGCAUUUGUUUUUGCAUUGAAAUGUUUUACAUAAUUUUAAUGUAUGGUUUAAUUAGAUGCCCUGGAGAGCUAUAUGUUGUUCAAUGAGAACCAUGUAUGUACUUUGGUUUUAAUGCUCUGGAGAACUAUGUAUGUACUUUGGUUUCAGAGUUCAUUUCAAAUGUUUUUCAACUUCAUGGUCUUACAGCUUUGAAUGGUGCAUUUUAAACACAGAAAAACAAGGGAGUUCAAAUAAGUUCAAAAAAAUUGAAAUCCCUUUGUAACAGACGAGUUUCCGUAUGAAACCCUGAUACUUCGAAAGAGAUUGUCCGUUUUGUACACGAAGUGCAUCCAGUUUUUGCCUCUCUCUACUUUCUUACACAUGCUAUGUGGGUGAAAUGAUGAUACCAUGCCAACUUGGAACCUUUUCAGAGUUCAUUUGAAAUGCUUUUCAAUUUCAUGGUCUUAUAGCUCAAAAUAAUCAGUAAAUGCAUGAAAAAUAACAAAUGAAGUCAGAAAGGGUUGUAAAUUGAUGAUGUGGCUUUGAAUGGUGUAUUUUGAACACAGAAAAAUAAGGGGGUUCAAAUAAGUUCAAAAAAAUUGAAAUCCCUUUGUAACAAACGAGUUUCCGUAUGAAACCGUGAUACUUCGAAGGAGAUUGUCCGUUUUGUACAAGAAGUGCAUCCAGUUUUUUCCUUAAGCUCUCUACUUUCUUGCACNUUGUAACAGACGAGUUUCCGUAUGAAACCGUGAUACUUCGAAGGAGAUUGUCCGUUUUGUACACGAAGUGCUUCCAGUUUUUGCCGUAAGCCUCUAUAAUUUCUUGCACAUGCUAUGUGGGUUAAAUGAUGAUAACAUGCCAACUUGGAACUUUUUGAGAGUUCAUUUCAAAUGCUUUUCAAUUUAAUGGUCUUAUAGUUGAAAAUAAUCAGUAAAUGCAUGAAAAAUAACAAAUGAAGUCAGAAACAAAAUAAAAUAAAAUAAGUAAGUAAUUUGAAACAAAAUAAUAUAAACUUUAAUAAAAUAGAUAAGUAGAAACAAAAAAACUUUAAUAACAUAAAUAAAAUUUGUGAAACUAAAAUUAUCAAAGUAUUUUCUGUUCAAAACAUUAUAAGCAACUUCUAGUAUUAUUGAAACUAAAAUUAUAUAAAAUUCAUGCAACUAAAAUUAUCAAAGUAUUUUGUGUUCAAAAUCAUUAAAAGCAAAAAGAAUUUUCAUAAAGAACUUUUUUUGUUAGAAACUUUAAUAGCAAAAAAGAAUUAUCAUAAAAUAAAAUUAAUAAGUAAUUAUAAACAAAAUAAAAUAAAAUAAAUAAGUAUUUUCUUGUAAGUAGAAACAAAACAAAAUAAAUAAAGCAAAAAAUAAAACAAAAAAAUGGUAAAAAAGUAAUUGCCACCAACUGGGCCACCACGGCAUGAAUACGACUAGAAACCCAUCCAUGGGCCAGGAUUCAGGCCCGCAUUAGGCCCAGAAGGCCCAUCAGGCAAAGCAGUAGCAAGUAGGCCCGUAAGUCUGCAGUGGAGAGGAGCUCGAGAGGGGUGCGGCAGUGGGGCUUAUAAACCACUACGUGCCCCUCUCAACUAGCGAGGUGGGACUAAACUUUGGCCGCGACGCGGGCAGCCUUUGGUCCCGGUUGGUGGCACCAACCGGGACUAAAGGGGGUGCAUUGGUACCGGUUCGUGGCACCAACCGGGACCAAAGGCCGCCGCUUCCCGCCCUUUGGGCUGCUGAAAAGUGACCUUUAGUCUCGGUUGGUGCCACCAACCGGGACCAAAGGCCGCCGCUUCCUGCCCGUUGGGCUGCUGAAAAGUGACAUUUGGUCCCGGUUGGUGGCACCAACCGGGACUAAAGGGGGCAUUGGUACCGGUUGGUGCCACGAACCAGUACCAAUGGCUUUGCUAUAUAAGCCAGCAGUUGUGAAAAUUUUGUCAGUUUCCUCGAUUCCUCCGACGACGCCGCUAGGCUGCCCGAGCUCGCUGUCGUCGCCCCUGCCCCCGACCACGCCGUCGUCGCCCCUGCCCCCGACCACGCCGCCGUUGUCCGGCCCGACCACGCCGUCGUCGCCCCUGCCCCCCGACCACACCGCACGCCCUCGUCGUGCCUCUACCGCGCACCUACCUGCCCCGUCGACGUCGUUGCCGCCCUUUGCCCCGUCGAUCGCCAUCGCCCCUGCCCCGACCACGCCGCCGUCACCGCCCUCUACACCGAUGCCAGCGCCAUGCCUCUCCUUGGUCAGGCCGGCGCCGCCCACCCUGUCCUCUCCUUUUGUUCAUAUAAAUGAUGAUUUUUUUGUAUUUUUAUAAAAAUGUAUAUAUGUAUGUAUGUUCUCUGUGCAUAUAAAAGUUAGAUUUUUAGUACAUUUGGGUACAUUUUAGAUUAGUUUUAUCUAUAUAUGUUCUCUGAUUUAGUACAUUUUAGGUUAGUUUCCUUUUUAGAAAAGUUUUAUAUAUUUAGGAAAAGAAGGAAGAGAAGGAAGAAGGAAGAAUGAAGAAGAAGAAAAAGUUUUAUAUAUGCAAAAUUUACAUUUUUAGAAAAGUAUUAUAUAUAGCUAGGAAGAUAACGAAGAAGAAGAAAAAGAAUGAGAGGAGAAAAAGGAAAAUAAGAAGAGGAAGAAAGGAGAAGAAGAGGAGACGAAGAAGAGGAAAAAUAAAUAAGAAGAGGAAAAAAGAAGAAAAAGAAGAGGAAAAAAUAAUUUUCUAUUUUUUUCUUCUUUCUCCUCUAUUCCUUUCUUCUUCUCUUUUUUUCUUCGAUUGCUUCUCUUCUAUUCCUUUCUUCUUCUCCUCUUUUUAUUUCUUAUUUUGUCUUCUUAUUUUUAUCGGGUAUGUCGUUGUCGAUGUACCCCCUACCGAUCAAACUUCAACACGAGGGGGGUACCGAUAUACCCCCUCCCCGAUAACAUUAUUUUCCCAUGUAUAUGUAUGUCGCGUCGUUGUCGAUAUAACCCCCUCCCGGAUAACUUCGACAUGAGGGGCGGUCGAUAUAUAUACCCACUCUCGACCAUGAUAACUUAUACCACGGGAGCACCCCCCCUCGGCUCUCUCGCUCGACCGAAACUCUCGAGGACACCCAAACCCUAGAGAAAAAACGAUGUUGGUCUCCUACCCCCUCCCGCCGCGCCCCUACCCGACAAACUCUCUCGAGGCCACCCAAAUUUACCAAGUUAAAAGAGUGUUAUCGUCGAGGCCACCCCAAACCCUUGAAGCGUUGUGUCGAGGCCAUCCCAAACCCUUGAAGCGUCGUCUAGGCCACCCCAAACCCUAGAGAAGCAGCGUCGAGGCCACUAACAUGAUUCCUUAUUAUGAUUAGCUAGCUAGUUCUACGUUUUCCACUAAUAUAUAUCCAUCUAUUCCAUGUUUGAAUAAUAAUUGACAUGUUGUAAAUAUUUGCAGAAACUAUGGAUCCCUCCCGAGACGAAGCAUCAGAAGCGAUGUUGGGGGAGAUAAUCGCACAAGAAAGUGAUGUCAUUGUGUCGUUUCUCUACGACACCGAUGGUCAGGAAGGACCGGGUGAAGAAGAGGGCUAUGCUCAUGAUGGCUCCGGUGACCCAUUAAUGCCAAUACAAGAAGAGGGCUAUGUUCAUGAUGGCUCCGGUGACCCAAUGGAGGUACAAGAAGGAGACUGUGAUGACGGCUCCGGUGACCGAACCGAGUCCGGCCAGGUAUAUAUAUAUUAGUUAAGCCCGUGCUGACUAGUUAAUUGAUGCAUUCAUUGUUUUCAUAUGUACACAUAUUAAUUAACUCUCGUCUUUCUUCUUUUUUCUCUAGCCUUCCGGAUCGAGCUCAACUUCGGUAAAGAAACGAGGCCCGAAGAAAAGUUGCGCUCGGAUGAAAGGUUUGAGAUCACAGCAAUCGCGCCCGAUGGCAAGCCGAUUGAACCCAUCCGGACAAGGGUUGCAUUUCGUGCUCAGUGCGGGGUUCUUGUUAGGGACAAGAUCUCGAUCAGUAUCCAGCAAUGGUUAAAGCCAAAGAAGGAAGACCCUGAGGUGCCGACGUCUUAUGUCUCCGAUAUGCAGAAAGAAGAUUUUUGGACAACGCUUAAGGCAAUUUUCACCUUACCGCCAGAGGAGGAUCCGGAAAAGCUAGUUAUAGAGCAAUUGAUCAAGUCUCAUGCUCUUAAGAAGAUGGCAAAACUAUUCAGGAGGUGGAAGAAUGAGCUGAAAACGUUUGUCGACAAAGAAGAGACACCAGAAUUCACUAGCCGGUUUGAGAAGAUAAGAGAUCAGUGGCCCGCAUUUGUGGCCCAUAAGACAUCGGAAAAGAGUAAGAAGAUGUCAGCGACAAACAAGAAAAAUGCUGCGAAGAAGAAGCAUCACCAUCGCACGGGGUCAGGUGGUUACCUCAAAGCCCGACCUUUGUGGGAGAAGGCUGAGAAUGACCUGAUUGCUAAAGGGGUCGAAUCAGAGACAUUGAGAUGGACAAACCGUUGCCGGACUUGGUUCUUCGGGGUUGGCGGAACCUUGGACCCUGUAUCAAGGAAGUGCGUUUGGACGGAAGAGCAACUGCGAAUACCCGUCACGAAGCUUCGGCACUAUAUCGCCGCAGCACAGGAAGGGACGUUCGUUCCAGACAGAGAGAAGGACGAGCUGACAAUGGCCCUCGGGAAUCCUGAGCACCCUGGACAGACACGAGGCACGCCAGGCUCCCUUCCGUGGAACGCUGGGUUUCCGGACGCAGGGGGUUAGAAAACCCAGGAGAGGAGGAAGAAAGUGGAGCAUAGCCAACUGCAGGCGCUGCAUGAAAGGGUACAAGGGCUAGAGGAACGAGAAGCAGAUCGCAGCAAACGACCUGCCGAAGCUUCCCCUGAAGCUACCCCGCCAUCUCAGCGGAGAAGCAGCAUGGCUUCCACCGAGCAGACUCAGCAUCUGGAGCCUGUCUUCACGGGCUACCCCGUGGAUGCUAUCACAGAGUCUCAACAUUGCCACCUUAUGACGCGAUGGAUGACAUUCAAAGUCAAGGCGGUUGUUGGCUCUGUUUUCCCUAAUGAACCUGGCUCAACCUACCACGGCCAGCCGAUUCCAGAAGGAUAUGCUAAGGUGAUGGUGGAUCAAAUAACGGACGGAUUUGAGGACCUUGAGCUUGACCACCCUACGGGUGAAGGGGAGAUUCGGCUGGGUUCUUCUCUGAAGACUACAUGCCUAUGGCGGAAGCAGCUCAGCAAGCUUCCGAACUGGACGCCUCCGCCUCCUCCUCCUCCUCCGGCGAGACAGGACACUCCGCCUCCUCCGGCGAGUGAUCAGGGCACUCAACCUCCUUCUCCGGCGCAUGGCGGCACUCCGCCUCCUUCUCCGCCUGCACCGGCGCACCCGAGCAGCCAGCUGUCUCCUCCUUCUCCGCCUCGUCAACAAGGGCGAAAGAGACCCGCCGCCGCACCGGCUCCUCCGGCGCGUCGUCCUUCUGCUUCGCCUCGUAAGAAAGGAAAGACAGCCGCAGCCGCUCCGUCUGCUCCGGCGUCUAGCAGUACAGCCAGAGGCAGGCAAUACAGAUACGGUCCUUCUCUGAAGACUCCAGAGAAGUUAUCAUACGAGAGGAGCUAGGAGGAAAUCACGAAGAUCGUGGAAGCCGAAGUGAAGACCUUCUUUGAAGGGGUGAAAGCAAAAAAACAUCCACCUCCGGAGGAGAAGAUAGAUCCGGUAAAAGCAAAGCGUACUCUGGAUGCCCUGAAGAAACCACCAAAGUCUCCGACGAAAGGCAACUAUGAGCGCAUUGUUACAAAGUCAUUUAUCGAAGCGCAGCGGUCGGGAAGUACUGUCAGUGAUCAAAGGUUAGCAGAACGACGAGCUGGGAAAAAAGUUGUCCAGCUCGGCGAACAAGCGAACCAAUCGUUCCCCCCGCUCAAGGUGUCUAGCGAUAUCGUCGCUAAUCAUCCGGGGAUCUUGUUGCCCGGUACCAAUCCUGUAGAUUACCUGCCCGAUGAUGCACAUUUUGAUUUAUUGGAGGUGGACGAACACAAAUACGUGUACGGGAAGCCUCUCGUCAAAGAUGAAAGAUCCCUAACAACGAUGAUGCGAAGAUUCCAUGAUUGGUACAUGAAAACUUCCAAAGAGUCUAGGGGGAGUAAUAUUUUGACGCUGGGAGUUAGAAAGGAGCAUGACCUCGUUGGACUUGAACUGUUGAUGGUUCCAUUUGAGGAGUUCUUCCCGUUUUUCAAUCUAAAGGCCCUCGAUAAAUUAAUGAUCACUUGCUACUACCUGUAACUAGUACUACUUCUGUCAUUAAGUCUUUAUAUAUAGGUGAGCUCUUUCAUUGCAUGUAUUUUUAAUUAUCCUCGCUAUAUUAUAUGCAGAUUGAAGAUCGUCGAAUUAAAGAAAAGACAAAUCGGUGAUAUUGGGUUCAUUAACACAAAUCUCGUAGAUGCAUUUAUGAUUAAAUCUCAGGCCAAAGAUACCGAGGCCAACCUGCUACAAUCGUUUGUAUUGAAUCAAAACAAAGCUAUAAUACUCUUCCCUUACGAAUUCCAGUGAGUGUUACUGUCUUGUGCAUAUUCGGUUUCCCUUAUUAGUCAAGGUUAUAGUAAUGUAAUUGAUGAGUUAUGCAUGCGUGUGCAGCUUCCACUAUAUUCUCCUAGAGAUUAAGCUUGAGCAGGGACUACUAACCGUCUUAGACUCAAGACGAAAAGAUCCCAACGAGUAUGCGGACAUGAUUGAAAUUCUAGAGAAGUAAGUUAAAUCGAUCAUUAUUGCACCAUAUCGGCAACUUUGUUCAUUUCCUGAUAUCAAGUAAUUGUUUUCUUUGUCUGACAGGGUUUGGAAAAAAUUCACCGCAAAAACUCCGGGACUGCCGAAGAAGCUGCAAUUUAGACACCCGAAAGUAAGUACUAUAGUAGCAUGUUCCAUGCGUCUCCUAGUGAUUCAAGCGCUAGUUUCAUCAAUACCAUUUAGCAUGCUUGCUAACUAUCAGUUUGAUUGACCUCUAUUUCCUGUAAAGUGGUUGUGGCAGGAACCAGGGAAUGAUUACUGUGGAUACUACAUUUGCGAGUCCAUCCGCCACGUGACCUGUGAGCGGGGCUACUCUGACAAACAAUAUGACGUGCGUAAAUAAUAAUAUUCACAAUUUUAUUUUAUUACCAUCAUUUGUGUUCAGUUUCAUUUAUUCAUAUAUAUGUAUUGACCCCCUUCUUCAAAUUAGAUAUAUCGGAUGCGCAAUGAACUCCUACCAGCAGAUCGUAUGCGAGGAAUUCAAGAGGAAUUGGCGGCAUUCUUUCUUGACCACGUGGUCGCUUAAGACGGAGAAUACCAUGUGAACCCUAACGAGUUGAAUUUUAAUUAGGAGAUUAUAUUAUAAGAGAUAAUUAUAUUGUAUAUAUGUAGCCAGUAGUGUCGGAUAGAUAUACGAGAACUUGUUGUUCGACCAAUCUCUCAGAGAAGGCGAGGUGGUCGAUAUCACUUCUCUUUGUAUGCAUAUGUUCAUGACGAUCUUCUGUUUCCUUCAUUUGCUUACUAGCUACCGUGUCUAGUCCUCUCUAUACGUAUAGUAUGCAGCGUCGACCAAGCACGGAGAUAAGAGAUGACACUUCUCUCUAUUAAUUAGCUAGCUAACACAAUAUAUGAAACACCUAAAUUAACCCCCCAAAACCCCUAAACCCCCCNNNNNNNNNNNNNNNNNNNNNNNNNNNNNNNNNNNNNNNNNNNNNNNNNNNNNNNNNNNNNNNNNNNNNNNNNNNNNNNNNNNNNNNNNNNNNNNNNNNNNNNNNNNNNNNNNNNNNNNNNNNNNNNNNNNNNNNNNNNNNNNNNNNNNNNNNNNNNNNNNNNNNNNNNNNNNNNNNNNNNNNNNNNNNNNNNNNNCCCCCCCCCUCAAAAAAAACCCAUCACCUGAAAUGCUGACGCGUGGAUGCCUUUUGGUCCCGGUUGGUGUCACCAACCGGGACUAAAGGCCCCCCUGUCCGGGCUCGCCGCACCGGCCACGUGGAGGCCCAUCUGUCUCGGUUCGUGCAAGAACCGGGACUAAAGACCAAGGGCAUUAGUAACGACCUUUUAGUCCCGGUUCCAAAACCGGGACAGAAGGCCCUUACGAACCGGGACAAAAGGCCCUUUUUCUACUAGUGUACUUUGAUGUUUGAGAAAUAGAUUGUAAGUUUUCUCGCAAAAAUAACGUGCAUGGAUAAAGCACACAACAGCAAACCAAGCUUCUCUGGAAAGAAAUUCGCAUAAAAUAAACAUGCAUGCACAUUGGUAGUACACAUUUAUGUUUUGAUCACCUUCUAACGCAACAUUUGGUUUCGGAAGAAUAGGCUUCACCUAAUUCACAAACACGGUGCGCACCACUAUUUUUAACAGACACUCAAACAGAAUCACCGGAAAUAAUAGAAUAAAAGCAGUUCUUCCUAUGCAAAAAUUGAAAAAUGGGAUAUGCAUUGGCUGUUUGGAUUCCACUUUUUACCCUGUAGUUGUAAAUUUUUGACAUAUAUUACCCCACUUAGUGGAACUUUCAUAGAAAUAUCAGAUUUUGGAAAUUAUUAGCAUGGUUUUUCCCCGAUUUUGCACUUCCCUUGUUUAUGUUAGAUAGGAUCGUCAUGUUGCAGCAAUGAUUCAUAAAAAAAUCUGUAAAGAUUGGAAGGCAUCAUUGACGAUCAUGUCGAGACUUCUCUUAUCCAUUUGUUCCAUUCCUUGUCAUCGUCCACAUAUAUUUGGACCUCGGGCGUCAUCUCACACUUGCAUGAUGAACACACUUCAGAAAACAAGGAUUCAAAGCUUCCAAAAGGGUUAUUCUAGAUGAAUUUUCACUCGGUAGGGUAAUUAGUGUCACAAAUGUACAACUGCAGGGUAAAAAGUGGAAUUCACUCUUAGAUAGUAUUGUGCACAAGUGAUCCUGUGGAGCUUCGUGUUCACUAUGGGCAAAUUCCUCGAGUAUCGAUUAUAUGUUAAAAAAUGACUCCACCAUGUAGCUGGCGUAGAAUCUGUAACAUACCCCAAAGAUCUUUUUUUCUUCUAAAAAAGGAGGCUAUGCCUAGAAGACAUCGAAGAUAUGUGACAGACAUUGAUAACAUCACAGAGAAUGCCAAAGGAUACAUCAAAGUGAUGGUCCGCACGCGGAGACAAUCGCGUCAAAUGAUAUAUUUUCUUUCAAUGUGUAUUUGAUUAAAUGAAUAAGCAUUUGUUGUAUGUAGAUGGUGGAUGUCGACCCCCUAACUCGCAUAGGUAUAAAACUAUAGAUUAUGCUACUCCGAGGAAAGUUGAUUCACAUUGUUAGAAUUGAAUAUGUUGACACGGCACUUCGUGGCUUGUAGUCUUUGGCUGAUGUACCGAUGAUAGAUUCACCAAACUGUCAACCAUUGUAAGAUCGAGCGGUUGAAGUUAGCUUUGGUUCAGUCUUCACCAAUCAAGCUAUUAUAUUCAUAUAUGCGCAAGACUCCUAACCUUAUGAUAAAAAAAAUAGUGUUGAUCGGAUGAACUGAAUUAUAAUAAGCAAACAUAUAAGUAUGGAGUAUGAACUGAGUGUGCAUAAAGCGCGUGAAUAAAAGUUUGAAGCCGUUCACCACGGAUCCUCAGUGUGUGUAAAUCGUUAACUGUAGUCCUAAAAGUAUUCCAAGUGUGUCAAGUAGGUUCUAUAAGUCACGGCUAAAAUGAACAUAUAGAACCCGUGAUGAAUGAUUUCAAAGUUUUAGGACCUACUUGACACACCUGAAAUAUUUUUAGGACCUCCGAUGUAUUUUACUCUUAUUAUUAUUAUUAUUAUUGUUAUUAUUAUUGUUAUUGUUAUUAUUAUUAUUAUUAUUAAGAAGGAGGUUAUGCCAUCGGUAGAUCAAAGAUCUUUGAUAGAGGCCUUUUGAUGACAUCAUAACAUAUGUCUUGUAUACGUGGGGUGAUGGUGCAAGCAUUACGCGUGGAGACUUUGAUGCCACAUGAUAUAUGUUUGUUCAAUGUGUAUUUGAUUUUGAAUAAUUAAGCGUUUGUUGUAUGUGGAUGGUAGAUGUCGACCCCCUAGCUUGCAUGCGUAGACAACUUGAUAUUAUGCUAUUACAUGGAAAGUUGCUUCACAUUAUUGUUAGAAUUAAAUAUGCCGGACAGCGCCAAUGACACGGCACUUCAUGGCUUAUAAUCUUUAGCUGAUUUUGAAUAAUUCACCGAAGUACCAAAUCAUUGUAAGGUUCAGCGGUUAAAAUUAGCCUCCGUUCUACCUUCACAAACCGAGCUAUUCCAUCUAUAUGGGCAUGACCGCCUGACCUUAUGAUGAAAGAAUAUUGUUGACCAUUUGAACUGAAUUAUAACAUGCAACAAUACAAGUUAGAGUAUGGACUGAGUGUACACAAACGCUCAUGAAUAAAGCACAACAACAAACUAAGUUCCUAUGAAAAGAAACGUGAAUAAAAUAAGCAUGCAUCUACAUUGGGAGUACGCAUAUAUAUUUUGAUCACCUUCUAACAAACUAAGUUCAUAUUAUUAUUAUUCUCCGGAUAGAGUUUAUGCCUAGGAUACAUCAAACAUCUUUGAGAGACACUAACGCCAUUUUGAUGACAUCAAGGUAGAUGCCUCGUAUACGUGGGGUGAUGGCGCAAGCAAUACGCGUGGAGACCAUCGCGCCAUAUGAUAUAUUUUUGUUCAAUGUGUGUCUAAUUUUGAAUAAAUAUGUGUUUGUUGUAUGCGGAUGGUGGAUGUGGAUCCCGUAGCUUGUAUACGUAGACCACUCUAGAUUAUGCUAUUUCAUGGAAAGUUCCUUCACAUUAUUAGAAUUAAAUAUGUCAGACGGCGCCAAUGACACGGUAAUUCAUGACUUUUAAUUUUUAGCUCACGUGUCAAUGAUAGGUUCACCGAAGUCCCAAAUCAUUGUAUGAUUGAGCGUAUGAAAUUAGCCUCGUUUCUACCUUCACAAACCGAGCUAUUACAUCUGUAUGGACAUGACCCCCAGACCUUAGGAUGAAAAAGUAGUGUUGACCAGUUAAACUGAAUUAUAAUAUGCAACAAUAUAAGUAAGAUUAUGAACCGAGUGUAGAAAAAUGCGCAUGAAUAAAGCACAACAACAAACUAAGUUCCUACGAAACGAAACUCCAAUAAAAUAAGCAUGCAUGUACAUUUGGAGUACACAUUUAUAUUUCAAUCACCUUUUGACCCGACAUUUGGCUUCAUAACGAUAGCCUUCAUCUAAUUCACAAACACGAUGCGCACCACAAUUUUCAGUACACACCUGAACAAAAUAAUCAGGGAGAAUAGAAUAAAAUCAUGUCUUCCUAUGCAAAAAUUAAAAUGGGGCAUGCAGGGGUUGUUGGAUUUUCGUGAGAUGUCACAUAGUAUUGUGCAUAAGAGCCUCUCCAGCAGACGCGCUAUCGCAGCAUGCUAAAAGGUUAUACAAUGCUGAAACGCUGGCUCAUGAUUUUGAAUAAUUGAUCUUCUAUUCAAAAUAUAUUCGUGAAUCUGAAAAACAUGUUCAUGAAAUUUUAUAAAAUAUUCAAAAAAAUUGUUUGCGAAUUUCAAUUUUUGUUCCCCAGUUUUUGAGAAGUUGAUCGAUUCAAGAAAUGUUUGCUGGGUCAAAAAAUGAAUACUUCAAAAAAUGUUUGUCUAAACAAGACAAAUGUUCAUGAAUUUUUAAAAAAAUGGCCGAAUUUAGAAAAAUGUUUGUCGAUUCAAAAAACUGUUUGCCAAUUAAAAAGUCUUUUAUGUCAAGGAUUCAAUUAGUUUUUGGAAAGUCUUUUUUAGUCUAAGCGUUGGGGGUAGUUUGUGGAGUUGGUAUUUCUUUAUAAAGUUUUAAACAUUCCCUCGAGCGUCACAAUGUCACAAUGAUGUGUGUCUCGGGUAAUGGCAAGCUCAUUGCCUUGGGAUUUACCAUGCCGAAUGCAUUGCAAUCACGUAGACAUCGCGUCCAUCAUCACCGAGGGUGGAAAGAAAGAUAGGUGGCAACAUGAUGAGCCAUGGUGUUAGAACAAAGGACGCUCAUAUGUCGGGGUAUUGAGUCAUACUCGUUUGACUAACCUGUAAUUUUUUCAUCUCCCGUUGCAGCGCACAUUCAUGUUUGCUAGUACCGCUGAAAAAAAAGUAUAGAUUUUCCCCUCAAAAUGUGGUUAUUGGCAUCAAAUACCCCCUCAACUUGAAACAGGAUCUUUAGGCCCUUAAAAUGUAGCAAACCGGUUUAUCCGGUUUGCCAGAUUUUAGGGGCAUAAAAAACAUGUUUUGGAGUUGAGUGGGGUAUUUGAUGCCAAGAGCCACAUUUGAUGGGGAAAUAUAUACUUUUCUUGUAAAAAAAUUAGUAGUGGGCCCUAUUUACUGAACAGGCCUAAAUACAGCAACAUUUUAUUUUAUUUUUGGCAAAUGCUACUACAUAUGGAUUGAUAAAAACAAGAAAGAAGCCCAAGGUUGCUCUCUAAUUAUCACUAAGGUUUUAAGAACAUACAACAUAUUAGGUUGCUCUCUAAUUAUCACUAAAGUUAGUACAAAGUUGAGAUUUCUGCAACAACAUGGCCAUUCAGCUAGUCAAUAUAAAAGCUGUAAAAAAGGAAAGAGGCUAAAAAGGUAAUCCAUAUCGGUGUACCAUGGUAGGGUUUAUUCCUUUGCGGGAAUACCAUGGUAGUUUAUUUAGUGCACUGGUAUGAUGAAUCAUCAACUCCAUUUGCCCAGCAAACUAUCAGGUUAGCAAUCUCUAUCUGGUAAAACUAGUACAAAGAGUUUGUGUGUUUGAUUAUUUGCUAUUUCUACAACAAUGGCUCAAAUGGCAUUAUCAAAAAACUCAUCAGGAGACAUUGGCCAGAUCGGCCGACCAUUAGAAAGUGUAAGAGAAAGAGUUAAGAAACUCUAAGCAAGACUUGGAUUCAGUUAAACUUGCUUUGCGCCAAUUCUGGUCAACUGUCAGUGCAGCAAAAAUGCAAAAGGACCUCAUGGCAAAGGUAAUGAACAAUAAUUUGUUCUCAACAGAAUAACUACAUGUCAGACUACUGCCCAUCCUUCUUUGACCAAGUUUCGUGUGGGCCAAUCAAAGGGACAUGAGUCUGGAGAUUAACUGACCAAGCAUGCCUGAAUUGGAUGGAUCACCAAGCUGAAGAAUUUCGACUGAAGAAUUAGAUGACCAGGACCAAGGAUAAAACAAACCAGUGCCAUCACAUUUACGCCUACACCCCCUCAGCAUAAAACACAGCAGGAUAUAAAUAUUACACCCUAGAACAUUCCACACAUGACUAAAUAUGAUUCGAAGAAGAGGAAAAGCAGUAACAACAACAGAGAGAAAAGAUGAAAACGAGGACUACACUCGCAUCAGUGUCUCUGAAGGCUUUAUGCAUACCUCUUCCGUUCAUGACCCCUUCAGUCAAAGAAGAUCCUUCUUAAUCAGCUAAAUUCCACAAUAUUUGUUCUUAUUAUUUCUGCUGCAAGGCAUAUGCGUUCAAUGUAAAAGCUAAAAAAAAAUAUUGUAAUAAAAGCAAAAGCGUAAAAGUAUAGCAUUCAGGUUCCAUAACCGUGUUUCAUGGUAGUUUAUACUGCACUGGUAUAUGGAACAUUAACUCUAUUUGUCCAGCAAACCGACAAAACGAACAAGGAAUCUGUGUAUUUCAGUUAUUUGAUAUUUCUACAACAAUGGCUCAAAUGGCAUUAUCAAAAUUUCAUUUGGAGACAAUGGCCUCACCGGCUGACCAUAAAAAUAUUAAGAGAAAAAGAGUAAGAUACUCUACACAAGACUUGUCUUCUACUCCCUCCGUCCCAAAAUAAGUAUCUCAACUUUGUACUAACUUUAGUACAAAUUAGUACAAAGUUGUAUUAGGGUUGAGACACUUAUUUUGGAACGGAGGGAGUAUUAAACUUGCCUUGUGCCAAUUAAGGUCAACUUGUCAGUGCGGGAAAAGGGCAAAAGAAACUCUCAAGUCUGCACCCUUCAUCAUAUGCCAGGUGCAUGACCAAUAUUUUGUAGGUGACUGCUAAGCGAGAUGCAGCUCUUCCGCCUCAAUCUGGACGCUCUCCACACAAAUCUCUGUUCUGACAACUCUUUUAACAUGGGAGAAUGGUUUACCAGGAAGGGUAGUAUUGCGGCCUGUCGGUGUUGCAGCAUUUGAUCUCAACCAAUUUUCUCACUGUUUGUUAACUGCAAUUGCACACAUAACCAAAUAAGAUUCAGGGCAGAAGAGAAGCAACACCUAAAGGAAGAUCCUCUGUUCUGUUCUGUUGGCGGUUGUGUCACUUCUAAGCUUUUAUAGUAGUCUGCUAAAUCCAAUUAAAUCACCACCCUUUGUCUACCAUGACAUUUCCAUGCUCAUGGAUUCCGUCUUCACUACAUUUUGUGGCAAGGUUGGGUUCGCCUUUUGUAUUUCCUUGGAUCAAUAAGUAAAAAAAAACGUAAAAAAGGAAAGGCGAAAGAAAUAUCAUUUAGGUUGCAUAUCUCUGUCUCAUGGUAGUUUACUGCACUGAUACUACAUAUAAGCAAUUAAAUUUGUCCAGCAAAGUAACACAACUACAAAAAAAAAUCCAUGUAUUCAGUUAUUUGCUAUUUCUACAACAAUGGCUCAGAUGGCAUUAUCGAACAAUUCAACAGGAGAUGUUGAUCCGACCGGCUGACCAUAAGAAAGGCGCACGAGAAUAAAAAGAAACUCUAUGACAAGACUUGGGUUCUGUUAAACCUGUCUCGUGCCAAGCCCGGUCAACCGCCAGUGCAGGAAGAAGGCAGAGGAAAGACCUUGUGGCCGCACCAUUCAUCCUAUGCCAAAUGUAUGAACAAUAGUUUGUUCUCACCAGAAAAACUACAGGUCCCCAUAAAAAAGGAUAACUACAUGUCCCCAUAGAAAAGGAUAACUACAGGUCAGACCACAGUCCAUUGUUCUUUGACCAAGUUUCAUGUGGGCCAAUCCGAGUGACAUGAGUCUGAAGAUUAACUGACCAAGCAUGGCCUACACUGAUUGGGUCACUGAAGACUUGUGGUCGAAGAACUAGAUGAUCAGGUUCUAUUGACCAAGGAGAAAUCAACCAGUGCCAUCACAUUUACAUUAACACAUCCUCAGCAUAAAACACAGCAGGAUCCAAAAGAUUACACCCUAGAAUAUUUUCUUGUCCUCACUUUCACACAUAACUAAAUACGAUUCAAAGAAGAGUAAAAACAACAGCAACAACAACAAAGAAAGAAAGAUGAAAAGUAGGGCUACACAUUAACAUCCAUGUCCAUGAAGAUUGUGUACAUACCUGUUCAGUUCAUGAUUGUGCUGCUUCUAAAUUUUUACUGAUUCAUUCAGUUAAAGAAGACCCUUCUUGGUCUGCUAAAUAUCAUAACAUUGUCAUCGAUGGUCACCAUAAAAUUGCCAUAUCCGUGAAUUGUCAUUGGAUCAAUUUACAGUUUCGCUCUUUCUAUAAGUACCAUUGCUUUUACCAACUAUAGGUCAAUUUUGAGGCCAUAGAUUUAUCCAGACUGGUGUGCCACAUGAUUGCAUUUGUUUCAAUUAUUUCUUCAGCACAUGUAGACACUCAGGUAGUCACUAAUUAAAAGCUAAAAAGGCUGUAAAAAGCAAAGGCUAAAAAGAUACUAACAUAUAGGUUCCAUAUCUACGUGCCAUGGUGGUUUUGUGCAAUGGUAUUAUGAAUCAUUAACUCCAUUUGUCCAUCAAACCGAGAGAACUAUAAAGAAUCCAUUUCUUCAGUUAUUUCUACUUCUACAACAAUGGCUUGAAUGGCAUCAAUAUCAAAUUUUAAUCAGGAGACAUUGGCCUGACCGGCUGACCACAAGAAAGUGUACGGGAAAAAACAGAAACUCUACGCAAGACUUGGCUUCUCUUAGACUUGCCUUGUGCCAAUUACGGUCAACUGUCAGUGCAGGCAAAAGGCGAAAGAAAAUCCCAUAGCCGCACCCUUCAUCUUAUGCCAAAAGUAUGACCAAAAACUCGAAUGGCAUCAUUAUCAAAGUUUCAUCAGGAGACAUUGGCCUGACAGGCUGACCAUAUAAAGGUGUAAGAAAAAAGGGUAAGAAACUCUACACUGGACUUGGCUUCUCUUAAACUUGCCUUGCGCCGAUUCUGGUCAUUGUCAGUAUGGGAGAAAAGCAAAAGAAAAUUUCAUGGUUGCAACCUUCAUCCUAUGCCAAAUGUAUGACCAAUAUUUUGUCCUCUCACCAAAUAACUACAGGCCAGCCCUUCAGCUCUGUUGCCUCCAUCCACAGUAUACCGGAACUUGUACUUCCCAUCCACACGAACCAGCAGAGAUGCGGCAACACGGUCCUUUUGGUAAUAUAUCUCAAGAGCUCGAUCUCAUUAUCCUCCCAGGCAGAACCAUGCUGUCAGAGAAUUUCCAUGAAGAAUAGGGCAUCCUGAGUUUAUGGACUGUAUGUGGAUUGUCACUUGUAUGCAUCUGUAUAUGCAAUGUAUCAUCUCAAACAUUUCUGACCCAAGAGAAUCUUAAAUGGCUUAGCAAAAAUACACCUGGGGAAUACACUUCUUGCAACCCUGUGUCUUACAUGUGGGGUCACAACAUAGCCUACUGUUCUGGCUAGCUGCCUCCUGCCUGCCUGCUCAAAACCCGUGCAGCUCGGAAAUGGUCUGUGAGUGUACACUGCACUAUUUUAUCCCUGGUUCGGUGUGCGCAUCUUCUCUGCUUGUAAACUGCAGCUUUGACACCAAGUCAUCCAGGAUAACAUAUAUUUCCUGAUUCUCAGGUUGCCUCUCCCUAAUUUUAAAUUCAUUUGCGAUCUCAUUUAGAUCCACCAGACGGUGUCCAGGACUGAACCUCUCAUCGCUUUCCUUUAUGAUAGCCUUCACCCUGUGAGCAUCUUCCCAUCUUCCCGCCGAAGCAUAUACACUGCAUAACAGAGCAUAGUGAGCACAGUUGCUUGGUUCCAGCUCGAUCAACCUGAGGGCUAUACGUUCCCCAAGUUUCCAUUCCCCUCUGAACCGGCACAACCCGAGCAAACCGCCCAAUGCACGUGCCUUCAGCUCCUCUGGCACGCUCCUCAAGAGGCCCUCUGCUUCUUCCAGAAGGCCAACACUCCCAUACAGAUUCGCCAUGCACCAAUAGUGCGCGAAUGUUGGCCUGAGACUGUACGUCGUGGUCAUCUGGUUGAAAUAUGCCUUCCCAGCAUCCAGGAGACCUAGACGGGUACACGCGCAUAGUACACCAAUGAAAGUCACUUCAUCUGGUCCGAGAACCCAUUGGUCAUCUGAACCGUUCUUCCCUGAAAAGGCAGGCACAAGAUAUAUCAAACUUGAAAACGCAUGGAGCCUAACAGAACUACAAGCAUAUAUAGAAACCAAUGUACUCACCUCGUCCAAUCAUCUCUUGGAACAGCUGAAGCCCAUCACUGGGUUCGCCAUACACGCAAUGCCCGAUGAUCAUUGCAUUCCAGCAAACGACAUUGCGGACGUUAAGCCGAUCAAACACCUUCCUCGCGGCCGCCACCCUCCGGCACUUGCCAUACAUAUCAACCAGCGAGGUCCAGAACAAGAGGUUGUCCUCCUCAAAGCGGCGCAAGAACGCACAAUGCACCUCCCUCCCGGGCCCCAGCCUCCCCAGCCUGGCGCACGCGGUGGCCGCCCCGACCAUCGUCGUGGCGGUGCCCCUGACCCCGACCCCCGCCAUCCACCGCACCACCUCCAGCGCCUGCUGGGGCCGCUUGGCCUUCACAUACCCGUUGAUCAUGACGUUCCAGGACACGACGUUCCUGAGGAGCAUUCCGUCGAACAGCUGGCGCGCGGCGUCAACCCCGCCGCCCAGAGCAGCGGCGUGGGCCGUCAUCAUGGUGUUGUGGGACGCGAUGUCCCUGGAGGGCAUUUCGUCGAACAGGUGGCGCGCGGAGGGGAGGCUGCCGGCGGCGGCGUAGAAAUGGAGGAGCGCGUUGGCGGCGUGGGGCGGCAGCGCGAAGAGCAGGCCGCGGCGGAGCAGCUGCGCGUGGAGGGCGAGCGCGGCGGGGAGGUGGCGGCGCGGGGAGCGCGCGGAGGCGGCCGCGGAGAGGAGCGGCGGGAAGGCGAAGGCGUCGGGGAAGCCGGAGGCGGGGUGGGCGCGGAGGAGGUGGGCGAAGAGGGAGAGCAGCGCGGAGAAGGGCACGCGCGGGGCGGCGGCGCGGAGGGCGGCCGAGAGGGAGAAGAGCGGGAGGGGUGGCGGGAGGUGGCGGAGGAGGAGGCGGAGGAGGUGGGUGGCGGUGGUGGUGGCCGCCGCGGCGGAGAGGAGGAGGCCCGAGGGGACCGGGUGGCCGAGGAGGAGGCCGCGGCGGAGGAGGAAGGCGUGCGCGCGCAGCACGGCCCCGCGGGUGCGCAGGCCGCCGCGGAGGAAUGCGUGGAGGUCGUCGUCGGCGGCGGCGGGGGAGGAGGCCGAGGUGGAGGUGGCCGCCAUUACGGGGGGAGACGGAGGAGACGACCUCGGGGCGGCGGCGCCAUGGGGGGUGGAGCGGGCCAGACUCGGCGCCUGCUUCGGUUUAGGCCUGUUGGGCUCGGGCCGCUGGCGCUGACGGGCGGGGCCCACCUGCAGUCGGUGGGGGUUUUGGAUCUGCCACUUCCGUUGAGAUCUGAACUGAGAAGAUCAAAUCACCAUCUCAAAAAAUAGUGUUGGUUUAUUUGUAAUACCCUUUGCGCACCUCAUCCAAGUGUUCUAAAAAGGUUAGCAACUUCAUCCACAUCUCUCAUUACUAGUUUAGCUCAUUUCAAAUGCUCUAGAACUAGUGUGGUUUGUGGGUUCUAAUGAAGGAGUGUAUGUGUGAAUUUAUUUAGUUUAGAUGCACAAUUUAAGCUCAAACUAACUUUUUAGUAUGAACAUGUGUAGGGUGUCGUCCCGUCCCUGUGCCCGUCGUCCUCACCCCCGUCAAUCACCCCUGUCGACAUCGUCGCCGCACCACCAUGAUGAGCCUCUUGUUCUUAAUUAUAUUUUUUUAAAUAAAAAAUUCUAACUUGUAUGAUUUAUAUAGCUACUUGUAUAAUUUUCUUAUUUUUGUAAUUGCUUGUUAUUAUAUAGUGACAUGGUUUUGGUAUCCGCCCCCGUCGGCUCUCGUCCGGUCUAGGAUUCAGAUGUGGUACAUUAUCUUUUAUAACCAUUUGUUUUAUUUAGUGUUUAUGAAAAUUAUGCCGACCAACUUGACAUAGAUGUCUUUAUCUAGGAGGUAUGUGAAUGGAAAAUUUCAGCCGAUCCUCUUGUCGAGAGGUUAAAUCUAGUUGAAAAAAAACAAUUAUUUGGAAAAAGUUGAAAAGAGUUGAUGAAGGGAAGAUGAAAUUGGAGUUGCAUGUUGUUGAUGUCGUCGAUCUACACAAGAUAUAGAAUGCAAUGCGCUUGAAGAUUAGAAAGGUUAGAAAAUAUGUCAUUGAUAAUGAGGCUUGAUAUCAUUAUGUUGUUGGAUUAAUUGUUACCUUAGUUGCGAUUUUGAUUGCAUUUGUUGUUGCAUUUAAAUGUUUUACAUAGUUGUAUGUUAGUUUCAGUGUAUGUUUUAGUUAGAUGCUUUAGAGAGUUGUAUGUUGUUCUAUGAGAACUAUAUAUAUGAACUUUAUGUAUUU
rnacentral:lncRNA from 1 species